UUGUCCGGAAAGUGCGCGAGGUGGCGACAAGCCUGCACGGUGCGGGCCCACCCCCUGGCCACGCCCUAAGGGCUUGUGGCCACCUCGUGCGCCUCCUGGACUAUGUUUUUGUUCAGGGUACUCCUUCUGAUCUAAAAAAAAUCAUUAUAUAUACUCCCGUUUGGUCUGACCCCUGCAUCACGCAAGUUUCCUAUGUUUUUUGUUUCGAGCCUGUUUCUGUUGCGGAUCUAGAUCGCUAUGACUUCUCCAAAAGCACCAAAGUACAAUAUCUUCGAGAAGGUCAUCAACCCCUACCUCACUUGAGUGCUGCAACACCCUCAAUCUAUCGAGAUGCGUGAGGGGAUGUUGCACAUCCGUGAUGUUCAGGGACCCAAGAAGACCGGAAGCGUGGAGACGAGGCUCGAAGCAAUGGAGCAACAAGACUUCAAGUGCCAAGGGAUGGUGGAGCGUGGACUAAACGCCAACCACAUGAUGAUCACAGAGUUCACCAGCAAGCACAAGAUUGAUGCGAGUGACAUUGGGAAGCACCUCUCCAGGUUCUAUGACAGGAUUGAUCAACUCCAGGCCCAGAUGUAUGACAUGCAGAACCAAACUUGUGAGUAUGAGUAUAGAUUUAAAUCAAUAAGGUUGGCUGCAGAUUUGAGGAUUCCGGAGACUCGUUCAUCUUUCCAUGAUGGAGCACCUAUGCCUUGGAAGACGGAGGAUCAAACUCAUGUUGCAACAACUCCACCAUCACCACCAAAGGAAGACAACUGAGCAUUGGUAUGGGCAAUCACCUUGGCUUGUGCCAAGCUUGGGGGAGUCGCCCCGGUAUUGUAUCACCAUCACAUCUUUUACCUUUACCUUUGUUUUAGUUUUCCUUUUCAGUUUUCUAUUUUUCUAGUAGAAUAAAAGUCUUAGUGUUUUAGUCUUGAGUUUUUCUUUGUGUCACCCCCGAUGUAUUCGAGCUCGUGAGCCAUAUAAUAAAGAGUGUCUUAGUUGAAGGGCUUUACCUCUUGCCAUGAUCAAAAGAGUGAGAAUAGAACAAAAGCAUGAAAGAUCAUGUAAUAUCUUAUCGGAAGUGAUGGCUUCACAUAUAAAAAGAAUGAGGAUUGAAACUUGUUUAGGGUAGGCAAACGUACACCUUGGUCAUGGUUGCAAUUAAUAGGAAGUGAUAAAGAAGGAGAGGUUCACAUAUAAAUAUAUCAUCUCUGACACCAUCUACGAUUGUGAACACUCAGUAAACUAUUGCGUGCCUAGAAGUAGAUGUUGGACAAGGAAGACAACAUAAUGAAUUGUGAUUGCUUGGUUUCGAACAAUGUUAUAUGAUUAGAGAUCCCAUAGCAUGUGACGAUUGCUUCCAAUUCACAAUAGCCUAACCUCCCGCACUAAGUAGAGAUACUACUUGUGCAUCCAUAAACCAUCAACCCAGUUUUGCCAUGUGAGUCCACCAUACCUACCUAUGGAUUGAAUAAGAUCCCUCAAGUAAGUUGUCAUCGGUGCAAGCAAUAAAAAUUGCUCUCUAAUAUGUCUGAUCUAUUAGUGUGUGGAAAAUAAGCUUUGUACGAACCUAUGAUGAGGAAGACAUAAAAGCGACAGACUUCAUAAUAAAGUUCUUUGUCACAGGACGCAAUAUAAAGUGGCGUUCCUCCGCACUAAGAGGACACACAUCCAAACCUCAAAAGCACAUGACAACCUCUGCUUCCCUCUGCGAAGGGCCUAUCUUGUACCUUUACUUUUUUUCCCUUGAAAGAGUCAUGGUGAUCUUCACCAAUUCCCUAUUUUGCCUUUGUCUUGUCUACCGUCACACUUGGGAAAGAUCUAUAUUCAUAUGUCAACUUGGAGGUAAGUAUUCAUGAAUUAUUAUUGUUGACAUUACCCUUGAGGUAAGCUGUUGGGAGGCAAAACUAUAAGCCCCUAUCUUUCUCUCUGUCCAACUGAAACUUUGAUCUCAUGAGUACCACGUGGGUUGUAGCAAUUGUAGAGAACGAAAGAAUGAUUGAGUUUGUGGAUUUUCUUUACAAGCUCUUAUUUGACUCUUUCUGAUGUUGUGAUAAAUUGCAAUUGCUUCAAUGACUAAAGCCUAUCGGUUGUUACUUCUCGGUAAGGUUCUUGAUCCAUGCUUUACUUUGUGAUGGAAUUAUCACUUUAGCAUGAGAGAUUAUAUGUUGGUAUUGCUGUUCUAAUCAUGAUAAUUAUGCAUGCAUGUUCGUAUCUUGUUUUGUCGACACCUCUCUCCCUAAACAUGUGGACAUAUUUAUUGAGCUAGGCUUUCGCUUGAGGAAAAGCGAGGUCUAAGCUUGUGGGAGUUGAUACGUCCAUUUUGCAUCAUGUUUUCAUGUUGAUAUUUAUUGCUUCUUGGGCUGUUAUUUCACUUCACGGUACAAUUCUUAUGCCUUUUCUCUCUUAUUUCGCAAGGUUUACAUGAAUAGGGAGAACACCGGCAAUCGGAAUUUUGGCCUGAAAGUGGAGCAAAGUUGAUAUACCUAUUCUGCGCAACUCCAAACGCCGUAAAAAUCAACGAGGAUUUUUUUCCCCAUUUAUCAAAAAUUCUGGGCCGAAGAAGUGCCAUAGGGGGCCGUGCAGGUGGCCACAAGGCUGCGCGGCACGGCCACCACCCCCCACCCCCCAAGCCGCGCCAUGAGGCCUUGUGGGCACCCUGCAGGCCCACUUGCCCCCUCUUUUGCUAUAUGAAGGGUUUCGUCUAGGGAAAAAAAUCAGGGAGGAGCUUUUUCGUGGUUUCGCCGCCGCCACGAGAUGGAACUUGAGCAGAACCAAUCAGAGCUCCGGCAGGACGAUCCUGUCGGGGAAACUUCCCUCUCGGAGGGGGAAAUCAUCGCCAUCGUCAUCACCAACACUCCUCUCAUCGGAGGGGACUCGUAACCAUCAACAUCUUCAUCAGCACCAUCUCAUCUCCAAACCCUAGUUCAUCACUUGUAACCAAUCUCCGUCUCACGAUUCCGAUUGGUACUUGUAAGGUUGCUAGUAGUGUUGAUUACUCCUUGUAGUUGAUGCUAGUUGGAUUAUUGGGUGGAAGAGUUUAUGUUCAGAUCAUUGAUGCUACUCAUUACCUCUCUGGUCAUGAAUAUGAUUAUGCUUUGUGAGUAGUUACUUUUCUUCCUGAGGACAUGGGAUAAGUCAUGCUAAUAGUAGUCAGGUGAAUUUGGUAUUCGUUCGGUAAUUUGAUAUGUUGUAUGUAGUGUUUCCUCUAGUGGUGUUAUGUGAACGUCGACAACAUAACACUUCACCAUUGUUUGGGCCUAGAGGAAGGCAUUGGGAAGUAGUAAGUAGAUGAUGGGUUGCUAGAGUGACAGAAGCUUAAACCCUAGUUUAUGCGUUGCUUCAUAAGGGGCUGAUUUGGAUCCACUAGUUUAAUGUUAUGCUUAGACUUUGUCUUAAUUCUUCUUUCGUAGUUGCGGAUGCUUGCGAGAGGGGUUAAUCAUAAGUGGGAUGCUUGUCGAAGUAAGUACAGCACCCAAGCGCCGGUCCACCCACAUAUCAAACUAUCAAAGUAACCAACGCGAAUCAUAUGAACAUGAUGAAAACUAGCAUGACAGAAAUUCCCGUGUGUCGUCGGGAGUGUUUUUCCUCCUGUAAGACUUUGUCCACACUUGUCCCUUGCUACAAAAGGGAUUGGGACACUUCUCUGCACCGUUUCUACAUUUGUUACUUGUUGCUUGCUAUGAAUCAUCUCACCACACAAUCACUUGUUACCGACAAUUUCAGUGCCUGUAGAUUUUACCUUGCUGAAAACCACUUGUCAGAUCCUUCUGCUCCUCGUUGGGUUCGACACUCUUACUUAUCGAAAGGUCUAUGAUUGGUCCCCUAUACUUGUGGGUCAUGAGACCCACCGGCUAUCCAAUAAGGCUCUCACGUAAGGUUGACGCAGGACACGUGUGGUAUGUGUGACAUCGUCCAGCGAGAUUCGUCAUGGGCAAACUGUACGGCCGUCUGCACUGUUCCCACACCAAGUGCAGUAAUGGAGUAGGAGUUUGACGGGCCGACACUGUGCAGGGUGAUGGAUCAGAGCCGGAGGAGGUCACCGGCAUGGCCGCCGACGCUGUACCUGUCGUGCACCCCGAUCCAGUACCUUGGCUGACGUGUAGCCACCUUUAACCGUAGGGCUCGUCAUGACCUAUGAUCUGAUGUGACUUGAGCUCCCUAGCCGGCUAGUCGCUUGACUAGCCGGCCUGGGCAUGACCGCCUCGCCUCUAGCCAGCCGGCUUGGCCUAGACGGCCAGAGGGAGGUAGCCGUCUCGCCUAUAGCCGGCAGGAGCUUCCUGGCCGACCAGAGAAUUGGCUGCCUCGCCCCCAGCCGGCAUGUGCUUCCUUGCCGGCCAUGGGGACUUUGGCUUAACAGAAUGGUUCGUCCUGUUCCUUCAUUGUAGAAGGCAAAGGAGUAGGCUCGAUGAGUCUACCCCGGGGUUAUCCCCCCGACAUCAUGGCUUUGUCAGCUUCCUCUUGCUGAUAAGGCAACGGUGGUGUACAGUGAUAAUGUCUCUAUCAUCUACCUCGCCGCCAACCCAGUCCAUCAUCACUUCACCAAGCACAUUGAGUUUGAUAUUUAUUUUGUUCGGCAAUAUGUGGCCCUUGGUCAUGUACGUGUUUUACACGUCCCUACUUCCCAACAAUUUCUGGAUGUCAUGACCAAGGGCUUGCCUAUGGUGUCAUUUGAGGAUUUCAGGUCCAACCUUUGAAUCAGCACUGGUGACUCUUCGACUGUGUGUGGGUAGGUGUUUAGUAUAUUUGCCAUCUAUAUUUGUAUACCUCGCCCACCUCAUAGAUCCUUGUAUAGUUGAGGUUGUGUCCCACUUUGUACAUCAUAUAUGCGUGUGCUUACACCCGAUCAAUACAUCGAGAGUUGCAUCGUAAUUGUCUACACCUACAACCACUCUACAAAAAUUACAGGCCAAGUACACACCAGUUUAUUCAUGUACCGACCGACCACACUCGCAUAUAUAUGGUCGGUGUAUUUGCACUCGAGCAUAGUAUAAACUGCACAUCAAUAGGUGAUGUCCGAUGGCGAGCAACGGCCGACCGACUUGGGUGGGAGUAUCCCGUAUGCAACAGCAAGGCGAUGUAUUGAAAGGCAACAAACGAUGACAGGGGUAGGAGUACACAUCAACGAGGAGCCAGCCUGUUGGAACGGGCUAUUGUACAUCAAGAUACAACCAAUUUGGGGUGGGGGUACCUUUCUACAGUCGCAAUAGGAUACAAUGCAUUGACAACCAACCAAUUACUAUGCUACUAUAGCAAUGUGGUGUGGUACAUAUUUUACCCCUGUAGCAGCCCCUCUACCACUUGCAUCGCUCCGGCGGGCGACCGAGAUGGAAACCCUAGCCUUCGGCGCCUCGGUCCACAUUCUCUCCCUCUCCUCCCCUUCUUUCCGUAGGGCAAAGCCCGAUAGGUGCUGGUGGCGGCGGGGCCUCUUCUUCUCCUCGCACAAGACUCGGCAUGGGCCGACGACCUUGGGCUUUGGCAGCGCUGCUGUGCCUUGUCCCAUGCGUGAAGAGCUGAACUUGAUUGGGGUUUGACCUAUGGGACGGCGCCUCAUCCCAGAUCAGGUCGGGCGUGUGCUUGGUGCGGUUCCCAUCGGUCCAUGGCCUAAUCUAGAUCCAGGCGGCAUAGGCUGCGAGCGGCGAGGGAGUCUGCUAGGGUCCGACGAAGGAGUGGUGGCCGCGGCGUCUGAGCCAGACCUGGGAUCGAGCAAGCAUGUGGCCAGAGGCAGGUCGCGGUCGUGCAUAGCCUGGGUGCAUGCUAGGCAGGCCGGAUGGCGAGGCGUGUUGGGUGUGGGAAGUGUCCCCGGUGAGGCUGUGUUGGAUGAGGGGCGAGAUCCACAAGCAGCGCAACUCAUGGUGGAGGGUCCUCAAUGGCCUUUAGGAUGCUCGAGCGGCGUCUUAUCGGGCGAGGCGCGUGGGCGGUGUGUGUCUGCGUCAUCUAGCAUCACGUGGAUGCCCCUCGGGGUGCGUGGAUUGGAGUCCCAUGACAACGAGGAAGUACGCUCCCGCGGUGUGUGAUGUGGAUCUGGUCUCCGACCGUCGGUGGUCUCCGCGAGCUGUGGUUGGCUGCGGCGGGUGUUGCUGCUUCCUCGCCGAUGGGUAGCUUCGAUGGUUGCCACAAUCCUAGAAUAUUUCUUGUAAAUGGUUGCACAUACGAUCAUGCAUAUCAUUAUGUUUAAUUUUCCAAAAGUUGAACUGAGGGAAGUGAAAGCCUCAAAACUUUAAAUAAAAGAGGGGCAAAGAACCCUCAAAUUGCUUUAUGUGAAUUAAAAAGGCUCUAAAAAUGUUUCUGAGAAUUUUGUCAAGAUAAAUAUUCGAACAAAAAUUUAGGAACAUUUCAAAGGAAUAUUUGGCCGUGGAAAUUAAAUCAAUAUCGUAUUUGAGUUUGAACUUUUAUUCAUAAUAUGUAUGGAAUAUACUUUCAAAUACCCUUGACCAUUUUAUGUGCAUUUGAAAUAAACAUUUGAGCCACAUAAAAAAUAUUCAGUUGGGUUUUGGCAUUGAUUUUGAAUUGUUUGGAAUUUAAACACUGGAAAAAUCAGCAUAUAAAAGGAAACAUAAGAAAAAUAAAUAAAUAGGUAGAAAACAUACCUAGGUUUACGUGGAAGAAGAGGUCCAACCCACCAGGGGCUGGAUCGUCUUCUUCCUCUACCACAAGGCACAGGAGAGGCCGAGCACGGCGCUGGCCGUGCGUAGCUAGGCACCAGCCUGCCUGACUUCAGAUGACAGUGCGGCGACGGGGAUAGCUUGUCCACUGCCGUCCCGAUCCUACUAACCCUCCAUUCCUCUCUCCAUCGCUUCUCUACCUCGCGUCCGAGUGCACCGCAGCAUGUCGCCGUGUACCACCACGUCCACUAGCUUCAUCGAGCCCCCCUGCCGUGUCCCCUAGCUCUGCCGACCUCCUCCUUGUCUCCAUGCCAAAGGAAUCGAGCUUGAGAGCCCUACAUCACAGCUGACGAGUUCGUCUUCCUCCUCGGAUAUAGGAGAUCGCCGACCUCGAUUUGCCUCGCCCCAAGUCUCCCCGACCUCGCCAGCAGCACUAGAAGCCUCGUUGUGAGCCACUGAACCUUCCCCCUUGCCUCCCCGUUGAUUGCAUCCUCUAGGGUGUAGAACCUCCACGACCGGAGUCCACCAUCCCUCGGGGUUGUCAUCGAUGUCACUCUAGUGACUUAUUGUCUACCCUACCGUGCGUGACAACCUCACACGCGAGCAUAGGUGUUAUAGGUGCAAAGAAACCGUCGAAGUAGCCACUCCAGAGAUGAAUCCGAUGUUAACCAAACUCCCGUCAUCGCUGCAAUACGCCCCUCCUCUAGGCAACGUCCCCAGUGGAUGCGGGCGAGUCCCAGCUCCACGCAAAGCCCCUCCACCAUUCAAUUGGUCAUCGGAGGGUGACUUCUGAGCACCUCCGCCACCUCGGACCACACCGACAUUGAGUCCCCAGAGGCCUUGACCCCGGUGACCAGAGGUUUGACCUGUGUGGGUCAGUGACACGUGGGGUCUGGCCCCUAGUUAAUUAAGUAGUUAGAUAGUAAUUUAGAUAAUUAGAUUAACUAACCUAAUGACCCACUGACUAGUGGUCCCACAACAUAUUAAUUAUUAGUUAGAUUACAUUUAAACAUCUUUAUUCCCCAAUCGACUAACUAAUGGGCUCCACCGGUCAGGUUUGACCUGGACCGGUCAAUUGAACUACUGACACAAGCAUGACCCCCUGAUGACGUAGUAAAUAUUUUCUAUUUUCAAAAGAAUUCAGGAAAUUUGAGAAAAUAAUUUGGACUUCAAAAAUUCAUAGAAAUUCAACCUAGCUAAGAUUGAAAUAAAUUACAUAUAAAAAAUUAUCAAAAAAAUCCAAGGAAUCUCUUUAUGGCAUUUUCAUGCAUGUUAGAACAACCUAUGCUCUGUGUUUACGGCAAUUCAAUUAAAUGCCAUUUAAAUAACUACAUAUGGAGUUUGAAAUUGAACCUUUCGUUCAAGCCAACUUCAUUUAAUGUUGUUGCUAGAUGCAUUAGCUCAAUCAACAUCACAUUGCAAUGUCAUGAUCAUGCAUCAUAGUGUUGCAUUUGCAUGAAGUAAAUGUUGUUCUUUUGCUGUUUGUUGGUGUUGUUCCCUCUCGGUAGACGUGGUUCCAAUGAUGAGAUCGGUGUCAAUGACAAAGACUCACUGUUAUCUUUAGAAGUGCUAGGCAAGCAACCCCCCUUGAGCAUUCUGAUACAAUCCCACACUCUCGCUCCUGCUCUGUUUUAAAUGCAUUAGGACAACAACGAUUCAACUGUUUCCUAUUCUGGGUAGUUGAACCCAUUCCUUUGCGUGACCUAUCCUUGUCACAGUAAAUAGUUGAAACCACUUAGCAUGAGCAGAAACUUCUUGAUCCUUGUUGUGCUUACUCAUCCAUGCUUGCUUACUGUGCCUACUAUGCUUAGAGUUGUGCCGGGUUUGAUCCAUCUAGGCGUUGAAUUGGAAUGAUCAUGUACUAAUGAUGAGAUAUAAUUGUCUUGACCCGUUUUGGUCAAGAUAGUGACGAGAGGCCAUGUUGGAGAACAUGGUAUAUUAUGUUAUGAUACGGGUCAUAGGAACUAGGUUUCGUGCUUAUCAGAGCCUACCUCGCUCUUACACGGACAUGUGCGGGUCAGGUGCUCGGGCAUGUGGCGCAUGGCGCGUGUGGCCCUUCGAGGCACAUGGCGUGGCACAUGUAGCGGACUAGACACAGAUACGUGUUCCACGAGGGAACAUUGUUGAUGGGACGGGGACGUGGUUCCUCUGAGUCAGGUGAAUGAAUCUGAUUUGGUAAAGGUAGCGAUGAGAUGCCAGGUAGGAGUACAUGGUGACUUGUCUCAUUGGGACCGCCCUUAAUAACUGAGUUUUGUGUAUGCUAUCCAAGACAAGAUACUACCAGACAUUGGCAUCCUUAAUUGACUCUCUCGGGUUAUUAAUCGCCUUGAUUUCUAUCGAGGAGUUGCAACAAGUUUCUAGUGUAUGUAGGAUGUGCUCGCGGUCGUGCAUAGCGCUGACCGGAGAGGUAGGCUAUGGGCCGGUAUAUGCACCAGUGGCCGGGUGUACCAAGAGUAGAACCACGCACUUAGGUGUGCUUGGGAACCUUGUACACAUCGUUUGGGGCCAUAAUGGAAACUUUGGCCAGACUUCCUUGUGGUUUCAAUCUCAAAUAGGCUAUAAACCUGGACUAGGGUCUUCCGUGGUUAACGGUCGUGGCCGACGCCCACGCCAGUGCUUUUGCUUGAAAGUUGCCGAGAUGCAUGACAUGUAAAUGGUGAAAAGUGGUGAGAGCGUCUGUGAAUAAGUAUACACCUACAAGGUGAAAUAAUCUAUUCGAAUAGCCACGUCCUUGGAUAUGGACUACUUGGAAACUUAUGUGGUACAUAGACAACUUGAAAUGGAUACUCUAAAAUGCGCAAGAUAAGUGUGAGUGCUAUGGAUGGCCUUCUUGUAGGGAGACAAGAGUGGAUCCAUAGUGGUGUAUUGAUUUGGUGAAUAUGUGGACUCGUGUGCACUAUCCCAAUUCAAACAAAAUACUCGUAGUCACAGUAUAGGUUAGCCAAGAGUCAAAGGUAGCUUGCUGCAAUUAAACUCCACAAGCCCUUCAUUGAUACUGAUGCAUAUGUAGAUAGUUCUGAUCUAAGCAAUGUUGAGUACGUCUGUACUCACGGUUUAUUAAUUCAUGUUUUUGGAGAGGAGACAUUAGCUUCACUAUUGGAUCUACGUUAUGUGAUCGAUGUUGACCAUAAUAGCUUGGGAAUCCCACACACAUGCCUGGCUCGUUUGGUAGGGUCAUUGUAGCUUUUUAGGCUCUUCCAGCCAGUUCUAGUAGAUGUCUAUACCCAGACAUGUUAUGCUUCUCCUAGAUGCAUGUAUGACUUGAGUGUUCGUUCAUGUGACCCCUGUUUCUAAUAUCACACUUUGUUGACUCUUAUGAGUCCUUACUAAAUGGUUGAGUCGUAGAGUUCUGUUGUGAUGCCAUGUUGUAUCUACACAUAUCGUGCAUAUUGUGUGUAUGUUUUGAAAUGCAUUGUAUGUGUGGGAUUCGACACCUAGUGGUAUGCAUUUAGUAGACUUCUUUACGGGGAAAUGCCUCUUUGUCCUUACAUAGAGCUUUGGUAGCUUGCUACUUCUCCGGACAUAUUGAUUGACCGCCAUGUAUCCUUCUUGGCUGUCUUGUCUACCCCUACAAGGAAAUGUCACACGAUGUAAUUGAGUCCUUGUAUCUUGCUACGACUCCUCUACACAUGCUGAUGGCCGACACCUGCAUUCUUGGGUUAUGUAUGCAUGUCCUUGUAUGGUUGUCUCACUUGGCUCUAUAACUAGUCAUUUCGAACCAGGUUCUUUGAUAUAUGGAUGCUAGCGACAUAAUCAUAUACGUGAGCCAAAAGGCGCAAACGGUCCGGCCAAGGUAAGCUGGCAGCCGUUGUGUACCGUGCGUGAGGCCACAAAGCUAUACGAUGUGUUAUAUGAUAGAUCUGUAUGGCUUAGGAUCUGGGUCCCGAUAGCAUUGGUAUCAGAGCAUGACUGCCUAUAGGAUUACCAAGCCAAACUGGUUGAUGUUGAGUAUAGAACUACUAUAGUUAUGUAAGGGAAUUGAUUGUGGAAGGGAACGUAAGACUCUUUUUACUCCUUUCCUCGUGUCAUUCUAAUUCUGAGUCACCCUCUUGCUUAUUCUAUGGGGGUUGAGAAUUAGGCUUCUCAGCUAUCUAUCAUGAUGACGAGUUACUAUGGUAGAGACCUAUAGGAAGUUUGUUGUCUUCUUGGAUUAAUGUCUUCGUAAAAAUUCCAUGGUUAUGUUGUUAGUUGUCUUGCUGGUUGCCUCAUAUUUGAUGCCCGUAAAACUAUUAUGUUGUUUGAGUUAUCCAUGGUUUCUAACUAAUCUGAUGCAAUUGCAAAUUCCUUGUCCCUGUUGUCGAUGUCUUUUGGGCCAGACAAAGGACACUAACUAUCAUUGUUGAGGUACUCUAUUACCUCGACGUAUUUGUUGUAGGUGUUAUGAAAUGAUGUUAUCUUAGGAAACCACCCAGUAGUCUAGUUCUGUUUUGUUUUUCCAGUGUGAUAAUUCUGGCCCUCAUUAUCGAAAGCAUCCCGUGAUGUUAUAUAAUAGUAAGUUUUCCAAAUCUGAGUUCUUUAAUCGAAGGAUCAUUCUGCUCACUCAUGUUGAUAGUGUUUUCUCAUUCCUUUAGGAUGGUUAGUAACCAUGUAAUAGCCUUCAAGAUCCAUGGUAUAUCAUUCUUCCAAUACCAUGGACUAUCCCCGGUAGGAGUUCUUCAGGAACUAUAGAUCACAAUAAGAGUGCUCUUGAUGAGCUACCCAUGCCAUAAUUGUGACUCUGCCGAUCCUUCCUUUCUGCAUGGGUUAUCUAGAAGAAUUAUGUUGAACUUGUUCGACAUGCUAAUCUUUGCAUCUACAACUCAGAAAAAUCAUGUGCUCUUGAGUGUCCCCUCUUUAGUUGUUUUCCGACCGUAGCUGUCAGUGGAUGGUUAAGAGUAGUGGUGCAUUCAUGUUCAUCUAUGCCUACUAUUCUUGUGGCCUUUCGACCAUUCUAUUUUAGAAUCACUAGGAGAAGCAAACUCUAGUGCCUCAUGCAUUUCAAGGAUUUGGUCAAAGCAGUUGUAUUCCGCACAUCAAAAUGCCAAUCCAGCUAUUGUUUUGUUCUACCUUGGAGUAUUACCCUCUUAUGUUAAGAAUGUUGUGAGAAUUGCACCAUCUCUUAUGAACUCUUUAUGUAGUGAUACUUCUCGCCAUUAUUAUUCAUUUCUCGGUCUCUAUAUUGGUUGUAACUGGAAUAUCGAUGAGUGAACCAUGAUGUGUGAAAUCAAUACUCCUAGCAACCGAGUUGCUUUGUAGUUAAUGGACAAUAAAUUCAUUCUUAGCUUGUUGGUUGUUGAAUCAUCAUUCGAAUUUUGAUCGUGCUACCUAGUCCAUCUUUCCUUCUGCACUUCUUGAUCAAUGAGUUAGGAUUGUGUCAAACCCUCACUCUUUGAUAACAUCGUCUUGCCUUGAAAAGAAAGAUUGUUCUUGAGUUCAUUAACAUAACGGUGGUUCGUAAUUUUCUGAAUAUCUUCUCGAAAGUAUUACUGGGUUGUUCCCUGACCGUUAUGUUGAGCUCAUGAUCAAGUUGGUUUUCUUAUAAACCACCCUUUUCCUAAGAAUCUGUGUUGGAUACCUCUGAGCUAGUUGGUUAAGCAAAAUAACAACUUGGAGAGUUGGAAGAUAAAAGCUUUGCAUGAUUAGGUGAUUCCAAAGGGAUAUGUUUGUUUGUGUGUGUGUGUGUGAGAAAGAGAGAGAGUUGAAUAAAGAUGAUAUUCUCAUCGGUUGAUCCAUGUGAUCAAAUGUUGCAUAUGUUAUCUUGUCCAAUUUUUAAUUUGAGUAUGGGCUAUCGUAAAAUCAAACCCAGAACCAAAGAUUUUCGUAAUGGUGUCUUACUCGUGGAUUUCCUUUGUCACACCCUGUUUUCACUACCACUUUCACUAUAAUGCAAACAUCUGAGCUUGUUAAAACUUUUUCAAAACUAAUGAUGUGAGUGCCAUGAUUUUCAUUGUAUGCUUGUGUGUUGAUGAUGUGGUGAUAAAAACCCCAUUUGACAAUGUUGAAUUAUUUCCAAAAACCUUUACUUGUUUCUGAUCAAUGUAAAACCUUACUUUGAGUUGCACUACAUGCCCUUGACGGCAAGGAGUGUUCCUACCCAAAGUUGGUGAUCUGAUUUUAAAUAUAUUUCAGUCCUCCAAAACCACAAAAUAAUUAUUUUGUGAAUUAUUUUCCUAAUUUAAUUGCAUGUCCAUUUUUGAGGCCAGAAAUGGUAUUCCUACAUGGAAAAAUACUUUUCUGCCUAAGAAAAAUCUGAUUAAAUUUGGAGAUGAUCAGAAGCACAUAUAUUUUCCAUACAUAAGAUUUUAAACCCGUAUUUAUAUUAUAAUUAUUUGAGUAAAACCUUCAGAACCAUUUGUGUCUGUUUUGACCUUUUGAAUUAUUUCCAAAGGAAAUAUUCUCAAUAAAAUCCUCGAAAAUUCCAAUGCUAUCCCUAAGCCAUAUUUGGUGUCCACCUAAAGUUUCACUUUGAUGCAUGGUGAUUAAGGACCCCAAAUAAAUGUAAAACCCCUUCUGUCCAGAUUGAAGUUAGAGUAACUCUACAUAGCAAAGUUUGUCCAAUGAUAAUGAAACUUUGCAGGAGUGCCUAAUACCUCAAAUGAGGGUUCCACACCAAAAAUGGGAUUUGUGGGACUUAGUUUGCCCACACUCUAUUCGGAAGGGACAGAUCUGGUCAAAUGGUGGUGUUUUCAAGUUUACAAAGCUAAACACGUCCAAUGGAGCUCAAACUUGGUGAAACCCCAUGUUUUAGCACCAAACCCAAAUAUGUUAAGUUGCAGCACCAGUGGUGGGGUGCAACCCACUCAAACCACCGUCGAGCACCUUCUGACAGAUGGGUAAAAGCCCUCUUAACCACAGCUAAACCCAACCCCUUUGCUCCAAACUCUCAGAUUAGGUGGCUAGUAUCAAUGCCCAGCCCCAGUCAAUUGGGCCCUCUCUGGUUCAAAGUAGAAAUGCCAAAAUCCCAAUCUAAGCUUUAGCUCAAAGCUGACAGCACCUGUUUCUCUUGUCUCCCUUGACCAGUCGAAGCUCCCACGGGACUUCAACAGCUAGCCUCACCCCCAGCUAGUGCCAGGACAUGAUAGAGACGUCCAAAGCACCUGAGAGCGCACCAGCAUGCCAUGGCAUGCCAAAACUGCGCUUUGGGCGCAUCACAGGAAGCCACCAAGGUGGGGGCGACACCCUUGGCCAGUUCCAGCCUCCCCCGAGGUGUCCAACCUCUUCCCCGACAAUCCCUCUGCAUCGAGCGACCAUCAGGGCCCCUCCGCUCCUGUGCUAGAGCUCGUGUAAUGCGUGCCCGCGCGCACCAGUAUCGACCGAAGUUGCGCGGCCACUGACGCUCGAAUCCUCUCUCUCUCUCGCUCUGUUGCAGAUGCUUCUGGCAGUCCAAAACUACGUCCUGGGAUUGUGGUUUCGACCCCAGCUCCUCUCUGCAUCCCCAUGCGUGCCACGGUGAGUCACCGGCGCUCCCGAAUCGGCUCAAAGUCGCAUGCCUAUUUAUAGCCCUCCCCCUCGCUCGAGCACCCUCAGACAGCUUCGCCACGACUACUAGCACCUCCAUAGCCACCCCAGCAAGCCAGCAGAGCCCCGGUGCUAGAGAUCGACCGAGGCACCUCCGCCUCGGAGCUCCGAUCGAUCUCCAGCUACAUGACGACUCCUGCAUUCCUCGACCUCAGGAAGCUUUCCCCCAACUUUCCCAAGCAUUUCCGUGCCCCUAGCUACCCCGUGGACCACCUCCCGAAAAUCCUCCGCCGUGGCCUCCUCGUCGUCGGCGAACCCGUGCCUCUCUGUCGUUGUUCCGACCACCAGCAGGUAGGCGGCGAUGAGCCAAACCCAUUUCUGUCCUCGUUGGAGCUUGAGAACGUCGGCAGCCUCGCCGUCGAGCUCCUCCUCCUCUCUAGGGAGAGGUAGGAGUCGACCCCGACAAGUGUGCCCCACCUAUUGGUGGCCCAGCUCCCUCUCCCUCGCCGCCCACAGCUGCAAACUCCAGGGCCCCGCACGUCAGGUUCAAACCUAACGGCGUGCGCGCGUGGGCAGGCUGUUGGCUGGCCUUUGGGCUGGCCCAGUUCCAAGCCUAGCCAAGCCAGGAACUGCUGCCCAUUUUCUUUUGUUUUAAAAUGUUUUUUCAAAGAUUUUUAUAAAAUAUUUAACAAGUGUAAAAAUAUAAAUUUUCCACUAAUAUUCUCCUAAAAAUAUGUAGUAUUUAAUAAGACCAUUGGUUGAAUUUUGCAGCAACUAUUCUGUUUUACAAUAAUAAAAAUGAUUAAAUUGGAAUAGUUUUGCUUCUGUUUAGUUGAUUUUAAAAAUGUUCCUUCAUUGGGAACAGAGGCAAAUAUUUUUCAAAAUAAAAACUUAUAUUUAUCAGUAAUAAAGAACAUUUUUGAAAUAACUUUGUGAUCUGUUUUUGAGUGAUCUAUUUCUUAUUUAUUCUUUUGACGAUGAUAGAAAAUCCGUGUGACGAGGGAAUCGGAGCGGAAGACCUCGAAGACCCUUGAUACCAAGCUGACCAAGGCAAGCAGCCCUUUGACCAUGACUGAGCAUAUGUUAUAUUGCAUGCUAGUGUAGCAAAUAUUUCUGUUGCAUAUGAUUAUAAGUGCCGGUAAAUCAUUGAUGUGAUGUUACCGAUGGCUCCUCCGGAGCACAUGCAUAGAGCUUGGUCCUACCAACUAUGAGGGUCAUUCUAGUAUCAUGUUGACAAUAAAGCUAGAGUAACAGUAGCAUGAGCAUGUUGUUGAUAUAAAUCAAAGAUUUAUGAAAAAACCCGUCGGGUGCCAGUAAUGCCCGAGGGUGAUGAUGAGUUAGGUGGCCAAUUUUGGUGAAGUGGUGCACCGGGUAUUUGUGUGAGUAUGGUUUCAGAAAUGGGAUUAGAUUUAUGAGGUGUCGACCGUCCCAACCUUACAUGUACGACCACGUUACCCCUCAUGGGACGGGGCUGUUUUGAUUACUCUAGUCGGUGCUAGCAAAGAGCUUCUACUUCUUUAGCUUGCGUUGGUUUUUCCCUUGAAGAGGAAAGGGUGAUGCAGCAAAGUAGAGAUAAGUAUUUCCCUCAGUUUGAUAACCAAGGUAUCAAUCCAGUAGGAGUAACAAGAUGAUGCACCAAUGAACCUGCGCAAAAACAAACAAACUUGCACCCAACGCGAUAAAGGGGUUGUCAAUCCCUUCACGAUUACUUGCAAGGUGAGAUCUGAUAGUGAUGAAAGGUAAAUAAGUAAAAGUGCAGCAAGGUAUUUUUGGUAUUUUUGUAUUAGGUCUGAAUAUAUAAUGUGUAAAAUAGACCCGGGGGCCAUUGUGUUCACUAGAGGCUUCUCUCAUGAUAGCAACGAAUUACUGUCGAGCAAUUGAUAGAAUCACGCAAAGUCAUGACGAUAUCUAAGGCAAUGAUCAUACAUAUAGGCAUCACGUCCGAUCUUAGUAUACCGACACUUUCUGCAUCUACUACUAUUACUGCACACAUUGACCGCUAUCCAGCAUGCAUCUAGUGUAUUAAGUUCAUAACAAACAGAGUAACGCCUUAAGCAAGAUGACAUGAUGUAGAGGGAUAAAUUCAUGCAAUAUGAUAUAAACCCCAUCUUUUUACCCGUGAUGGCAACAACACGAUGCAUGCCUUGCUACCCCUUCUGUCACUAGGUGAGGACACCGCAUGGUAUGAACCCAAAUCCAAGCACUUCUCCCAUAGCAAGAAUUAUAGAUCAAGUUGGCCAAACAAAACCCAUAACUCGAAUAGAAUUACAAGGAUAAGAAAUCAUGCAUAUAAGAAAUCAUAGGAGACUCAAAUAAUAUUCAUAGAUAAUCUGAUCAUAAAGCCACAAUUCAUCGGAUCUCGACAAACACACCGCAAAAUAAAGUUACAUCGUAUAGAUCUCCAUGAAGAUCAUGGAGAACUUUGUAUUGAAGAUCCAAGAGAGAGAAUAAGCCAUCUAGCUACUAGCUAUGGACCCAAAGGUUUGUGGUCAACUACUCACGCAUCAUCGGAGAGGCAAUAGUGUUGAUAAAGAAGCCCUCCGUGUUCGAAUCCCCCUCCGGCAGGGCAACAGAACGGUCCCCAGAUGGGAUCUCGCGAAUACAGAAGCUUGCGGCGGCGAAAAAGUAUUUCCGUGGCUCUCUCUAAAGGUUUCAGGAUUUUUGGGAAUUUAUAGGCGAAAGAGGUAGGGCAAAGGUGGGAAGGGGGCUCACGAGCCUGCUAGGCGCGCCCCCUAGGGCGCGCCUAGGGGGCUCGUGACCUCCCACGAGACCUCUUGCCUUGGUUCUCAAGUCUUCUAGGUAUCUUCUGUUAUGGAAAAAAAUCAUCCCACAGGUUUUAUUCCGUUUGGACUCCGUUUAAUAUUCUUUUCUAAAAAAGGUCAAAAACACGGAAAAAACAGAAGCUGGCACUAGGCACUAAGUUAAUAGGUUAGUCCCAAAAAUGAUAAAAAAAAUUGCAUAUAAAUGCAUAUAAGACAUCCCAAGUUGAUAAUAUAAUAGCAUGGAACAAUAAAAAAUUAUAGAUACGUUGGAGACGUAUCAAGAAUCCCCAAGCUUAACUCCUGCUCAUCCUCGAGUAGGGAAGUGAUAAAGACCGAAUUUUUGAUGUGGAAUGCUACCUAACAUUUUUGUUCUUUGUAACUUCAUUCUUGUGGCAUGAAUGUUCAGAUCCGUAAUAUUCAAAACAAUUGUUUAAUAUUGACAUGAAAACAGUAAUACUUCAAGCAUACUAGCAAAGCAAUCAUGAACCUUUGAAAUAACAAUGCCAAAGAAAGUUAUCCCUACAAAAUCAUAUAGUCUGGCUAUUCUCCAUCAUACCCACACAACGAAUUUAAAUCAUGGACAACCCCGGUAUUGGCCAAGUAAUUGUUUUCGCACUCUUACUUUCUCAAACUUUUUUCAACUCUCACGCAAUAAAUGAGCGUGAGCCAUGGAUAUAGCACUAUAGGUAGAAUAGAGUGUGGUGGAGGUUGUGAGGAAAAAAAGGAGGAGAUAGUCACAUCGACUCGGCAUAUCAGUGGGCUAUGGAGAUACCCAUCAUUAGAUAUCAAUGUGAAUGAGUAGGGAUUGCCAUGUAACGGAUGCACUAGAGCUAUAAGUGUAUGAAAGCUUAAAAAGAAAACUAGUGGGCGUGCACCCAACUUGCUUGCUCACGAAGACCUAGGGCAAUUUUGAGGAAGCCCAUCAUUGGAAUAUACAAGCCAAGUUAUAUAAUGAAAAUUCCCACUAUUAUAUGAAAGUGACAAAAUAAGAGACUCUCUAUCAUGAAGAACAUGGUGCUAUUUUGAAGCACAAGUGUGGAAAAAGAUAGUAGCAUUGUCCCUUCUCUCUUUUUCUCUCAUCAUUUAUUGUUUGGGCUCUUUGGCCUAUUUUUUCAUCUAAAUUUUUUUGGUGGGCAUAUUUGGUCUCUAAUUUUUUAUUUAUUCACAUGGGACAAUGCUCUAAUAAUGACGAUCAUCACACUUUUAUUUACUUACAACUCGAUACUUAGAACAAUAAUGACUCUAUAUGAAAUGCCUUCGGCAGUGUACCGGGAUGUGCAACGAUCUAGCUUAGCGUAUGACAUUGAAACAUCUAGCUAGCUACCUUACGAUCAUGCAAUGGCAAAAUGAAAAUGACGGCACAUGUCAUGAGACGAAACGGUGGAAGUUGCAUCGCAAUAUAUCUCAGAAUGGCCAUGAAAAUGCCACAAUAGGUAGGUAUGGUGGGUGUUUUGAGGAAGGUAUAUGGUGGGUUUGUGCACCGACGAAAGUUGUGCGACACUAGAGAGGCUAGCAAUGGUGGAUGGUGAGAGUGCAUCUAUACCAUGGACUCACAUUAGUCAUGAAGAACUCAUAUACGUAUUGCAAAAGUUUUAUUAGUAAUCGAAAGAAAGUGCUAAACGCAUACUCCUAGGGGAAGGGUUGGUAGGUGUUAACCAACGCACGAUCCCGACCGCCACACAAAGGAUGACAAUCAAUAAAUCAAUUAUGCUCCGACUUCCUAACAUAGCGGUUCACCAUACGUGCAUGCUUCGGGAAUCACUAACCUCAACACAAGUAUUUCGAGAUUCACAAAACACUACAUAUAUGACUCUAAUAUUACUGUAUCCAUAUCUAAAAACUAAUUGUGAGGAAUCAAACUUCUCUUACUAAUCAAUGCACUUGAAUAUGAAAGUUUUUAUUAUAUCCUCUUUGGACGCCUAUCAUAUUUAGGACUAAUUUCAUAACACACGCCAAUUACCAAGUUACUUUGAGAGAGCACUCUCAAAAUGAUAUAAGUGAAGAUCAAGAGUUUUAAUAACAAAUUCACGAUGAGUGCAUGUCCCUCUCAAAAAGGUGUGCAGCAAGGAUGAUUGUGACAAAACAAAAAAGCAAAACUCCUAUGAUACAAGACGCUCCAAGCAAAAACACAUAACAUGUGGUGAAUAAAAAUAUAGCUCCAAGUAACGUUACCGAUGGAUUGAAGACGAAAGAGGGGAUGCCUUCCCGGGGCAUCCCCAAGCUUAGGGUUUUUGGUGCCCCUGAAUUUGGCUUGGGAUGACUUGAGCAUCCCCAAGCUUAGGCUCUUUCCACUCUUUAUUUCAUUGUCCAUAAGAACAUAACCCAAAACAUGAAAACUUCACAACACAAAACUUUUUAGGUACUGUAGUAAACUUAAUUUCCAUUUAGCAUAAGAAAACAAACCACCAACUUUUUAGGUAUUGUAGUAAACUUAAUUUCCAUUUAAAUUGAUGUUAUAUUACUGUAUUCUCACUUUUCCAUGGCUCCUACCCCCCGAUACUAACCAUAGUUUCAUCAAAAUAAUUAAUCAACACAAAAAAACAGAAUCUAUCAAAAACAGAACAGUCUGUGGCAAUCUGUAUAUUUGGUAUACCUCUGCUAUCCCCAAAAUUCUGAAAAAUUAUGACAAUUAGGGAAAUUUGCAUAUCAAUCAGAACCAAAAAUAAUCAACUCAAAAUCUCUUUCUGGAUAGGAAUUAUAAAUAAUUUCGUGAGCAGAAAGUUUCUGUCUUUUUUAGCAUGAUUAAACAACUAUCACCAAAACUAAUCAUAAAGGUUCUACUUGGCACAAACACUAAUUAAAACAUAAAACACACAAUCAUAAUAUAAUCAUGAUGGUGUGGACUCAACAAAACAGAACGUGAAAAGAAAAAAUAAAUUUAUUCAUUGGGUUGCCUCCCAACAAGCGCUAUCGUUUAACGCCCUUAGCUAGGCAUAAGGCAAUAGAAUCAAGUAUCGUCAUCUUUAGUGCUCAAACCAUAAGUAGGUCUCAUAAUGUAUUCAUAAGACAAACUUAUUUUAUUUCUAGGUAAGUGUUCCAUGCCCUUCUUUAAUGUAAAUUGAAAUUUAAUAUUCCCUUCCUUCAUAUCAAUAACAGCACCAAUAGUCCUAAGAAAAGGUCUACUAAGAAUAAUGGGACAUGUCGGAUUGCAAUCGAUAUCAAGCACAAUGAAAUCUACGGGCACAUAGUUCAUAUUUGCAAUAAUAAGAACAUCAUUGAUCCUUCCCAUAGGUUUCUUAAUAGUAGAAUCCGCAAUAUGCAAAUUAAGAGAGCACUUAUCAAUCUCAUUGAAACUUAGAACAUCACAUAAAGAUUUUGGAAUUGUGGAAACACUAGCACCCAAAUCACAUAAAGCAUAUCAUUCAUAAUUUUUAAUCUUGAUUAGUAUAGUAAAUUCCCACUCGUCAUGAAUUUUUCUAGGAAUAUAUAUUUCCAACUCAAGUUUCUCAUCAAGAGACUUCAUCAUAGCAUCAACGAUAUGAUUGGUAAAAGCCUUAUUCUGGCUAUAAGCACGUGGAGAGUUUAGCAUGGAUUGCAUCAAGGUAAUACAUUCAAUCAAAGAGCAACUAUCAUAAUUAAAUUCCUUGAAAUCCAAAGUACUAAUUUCAUCACUAUUCAAAGUUUUGAUAUCCUCUACUCCACUUAUAGUAUUUUUAGCAUCAAGAUAAAUAGACUCUGAAUCAUUGGGGCAUUUCUGAACCAAAGUGGAUUCACAUCUAGCCCCAUCAUAAUUAGGAUUGACAUUAGAAAACAAGGAUUCAAUUGGAGUCACACCAAACACUUUAAGAUCUUCGUGAUUCUCAUCACGAGAACACGCCCUUUUAAGCCAUUCAUGUCUAGCACAAAUUUGGGCGAUUCUUUCUUUACUCUCAUUCAUAGGAAUCAUUUCAAAGUUUCAUCCAUAUUAAUCUUGGGACGAACACAUCUCGAUUUCAAAGCUUCAAUAUCAAGAGACAUUCUAUCAACAGUCCUAGCCAAGUCAUCAAUUUUCAGCAGUUUUUCUUCUAUGGAAGCAUUGAAAAUGUUUUGCGAAGUAAUAAACUCUUUAAUAUUACUCUCAAGAUCAGAGGGUAUUUUAUUAUAAUUUCCAUGAGCGUUGUUGUAGGAAUUGCCAAAAUUAUUAGAGGGAUUACUAGGAAAAGGCCUAGGAUUAAAGUUACCUCUAUAAGCAUUGUUGUUGCCAAAAUUAUUCCUACCAAGAAAAUUAACAUCCAAAUUUUCAUUGCAAUUCUCAAUCAAGGAAGAUAAAGGCAUAUCAUUUGGAUCUAGACGAGCACUUUUACUAGCAAACAACUUCAUUAACUCAUCCAUCUUAGCACUGAAAGAGUUAAUUUCUUCUAUAGCAUGAACUUUUUUUACUAGUAGGUGACCUUUCAGUGUGCCAUUGAGAAUAAUUUGUCAUGAUAUUAUCUAGGAGUUUUGUGGCUUCUCCUAGUGUGAUUUCCAUAAAAGUUCCACCAGAGCCAGAUUCCAAGAUAUUUCUAGAAGCCAAAUUCAAACCAGCAUAGAAAAUUUGUAUAAUCAUCCAAAGACUCAGGCCAUGAGCUGGACAAUUUCUAAGCAUCAAUUUCAUUCUCUCCCAAGAUUGUGCAACAUGUUCAUGAUCUAGUUGCUUAAAAUUCAUGAUAUCUUUACGGAGAGAGAUAAUCUUAGCUGGUGGAAAAUACUUGGAAAUAAAGGCAUCUUUACACUUGUUCCAUGAAUCAACGCUAUUUUUGGGUAAAGAUGAAAACAAAGUUUUUGCUCGAUCUCGUAAUGAGAACGGAAAUAGCUUAAAUUUAAUCAUAUCAUUAUCCACAUAUUUCUUCUUUUGCAUAUCGCAUAACACAAUAAAGGUAUUGAGAUGGGAUGUGACAUCUUCACUAGGAAGGCCGUAAAAUUGCUCUUUCAUAACAAGAUUCAACAAGGCAGCAUUGAUUUCAUAUGAAUCCGCACUAGUGGCGGGAGCAAUUGAGUACUAAUAAAAUCAUUGUUAUUAGUAUUGGAGAAGUCACAUGAUUUAGUGUUUUCAUGCAUGGUGACUUAGCAAGCACACAAGCACACAAGCAAACAGAAAGCAAGUGAAAGAAAAGGGCGAAAGAAAAAGGCAAAUAUUUUUGUAAAUUUUGUUUUUUAGAAGUGGGGGAGAGGAAAAUGAGAGGCAAAUGGCAAAUAAUGUAAAUGCAAGAGAUGAGUUUGCAAUAGUUACUUGGUAGAUAUGCUUCACUUGAAUACUCCCCGGCAACGGCGCCAGAAAUUCUUCUUGCUACUUCUUUAGCUUGCGUUGUAUUUUCCUCAGUUUGAGAACCAAGGUAUCAAUCCAGUAGGAGUACCAAGAUGAGGCACCAAUGAACCUUCUCAAAAACAUACAAACUUGCAACCAACGCGAUAAAGGGGUUGUCAAUCCCUUCACGAUUACACUACUGAAGUUCAGAAAUUUGUCGUCUGCCAUGGCAGACGACAAAGGGGGGGAACCACGGAUGGCAAAGGCUUUGCCGUCGGUAAGCAGACGGCAAAGUAGACGGCAACAAAAAUCCGGUGAAGAAGUUCUUUGUCGUCUGCUUUUUUAAAGCGGAUGGCAAAGAAUCUUUGCCAUGAGGGGGCAGACGGCAAAUUAAAUGGGACGGCAGAUACACCAACGGUCCCGUUAAGUGUUAAUGGCACGCCUCCUGUCUUUGCCUUCUGCCAUCCCCCCUUUGCCAUGAGGGGGCAGAUGGCAAAGGGGGGAACCAAGCCCCUCUCUCUCCCCUCUUUGACGUCUGCCAUCCCCCCUUUGCCAUGAGGGGGCAGACGGCAAAGGGGGGAACCAAGCCCCUCUCUCUCCCCACUUUGUGGUCUUCCAUCCCCCUUUGCCAUGAGGGGGCAGACGGCAAAGGGUGGAACCAAGCCCCUCUCUCUCCUCUCUUUGCCAUCUACCAUCCCCCCUUCGCCAUGAGGGGGCAGAUGGCAAAGUGGGGAACCAACCCCUUUUUAUUUUAUUUCUUAAUAUAUCCAGCAUUUUUCACAAUAAUCAGGAUAUAUAUAUAUAUAUAUUUGACAUAAAUAAAUUUGUGUCCAUACUCAUAACCAUCUUAAAAUAACUUUAAUCCAUAGUACAUACAUAUUAUGCAAGUUCCAUCCGUACCAAACCAUAUAUUACACUCAUUCAUACAAAGUUUCAUAUAUAUCCAUAUACUACAAUAGUUUCAAUACAACCUUCCGUGAAGCCAUGGUACAAGAAAUCAUCUUCAAGCAUUCCAUCAAUAUAAUCCAAGCUUCCCGUGAAGUGAAUGUAAUCUGCAAAAAGACAAAUAAGAAAGUUAGAAGAAUAAUACUAGAUGAAGAAGUAUAUAGGUUAUUUCGGAGAGAACUAAGCUAAGUCGGAAGAAGAAGAACAACAACAUAUGAUGUUUAUGAGGUAAUCAACAACAACAACAAUAACAACAAAAAUGUGAAUAUGAAAGAGGAGAAUAAAGAGAAGGAGGAGGAGACGAAGAAGAAGAAAUCAAGAAGAAGGAGAAGAAUAAGGAUAAGGAGGAGGAGGAGGAGAAGGAGGAGAAGAAGGAGAAGGUCUAUCCUCCUUCUCCUUCUUCUCCUCCUCCUCUUCUCCUCCUUCUUCUCCUCCUCCUCUUCUCCUUAUCAUCUUCUUCUCUUCUUCUUCUUCUUCUUCUUCUUCCUUAUUUUCAUUUUUCCUAUUUCUUCUCCUCUUCUCCUCUUCUUGGAGCUAAAUUAUCUAAUUUUGUCCUUUUGGAGCUAAAUGGGCUAAUUAUGUCAUUUUAGAGGAAAACAAUCGAAGUAUAAAGUAUUCAUGAGCUAACCAAGGUUCUUAUGCCAUUUUGAUCUUAUUAUGUCAUUUUGGAGCUAAAUGGGCUAAUUAUGUGAUUGUUGGGGAAAAUAAGGUAAGGAUAAUAUGAAAGAGGAGAAGAAAGAGGAGGAUGAGGAGAAGAAUAAGAAAUCAACAAGAAGGAGAAUAGGAAGGAGAAGGAGGAGGAGGAGAAGGAGGAGAAGAAGGAGAAGGUCUUCUCCUUCUCCUUCUUCUCCUCCUCCUUCUCCUCCUCCUCCUUCUCCUUCUCUUCUUCUUCUUCUUCUUCCUUCUUUUCAUUUUUCCGAUUUCUUCUCCUCUUCUCCUCUUCUUGGAGGUAAAUUAUCUAAUUAUGUCUUUUUGUAGCUAAAUUGGAUAAUUAUGUCAUUUUUGAGCUAAAUGGGCUAAUUAUGUGAUUGUUGGAGAAAAUAAGGUAAGGAGAAUAUGAAAGAGGAGGACAAAGAGGAGGAGGAGAAGAAAAAGAAAUCAAGAAGGAGAAGAAGAAGGAGAAGGAGGAGGAGAAGGAGGAGAAGGAGAAGGAGAUGGAAAAGGUCUUCUCCUCCUUCUCCUUCUUCUCCUCGGCUCCUCCUCCUUCUCCUNNNNNNNNNNNNNNNNNNNNNNNNNNNNNNNNNNNNNNNNNNNNNNNNNNNNNNNNNNNNNNNNNNNNNNNNNNNNNNNNNNNNNNNNNNNNNNNNNNNNNNNNNNNNNNNNNNNNNNNNNNNNNNNNNNNNNNNNNNNNNNNNNNNNNNNNNNNNNNNNNNNNNNNNNNNNNNNNNNNNNNNNNNNNNNNNNNNNNNNNNNNNNNNNNNNNNNNNNNNNUCCUAUUCUUGGAGCUAAAUUUUCUAAUUAUGUCUUUUUGGAGGUAAAUGGGCUAAUUAUGUCAUUUUGUAGCUAAAUGGGCUAAUUAUGUCAUUCUUGGGGAAAAUAAAUUAAGGUGAAUAUGAAAGAGGAGAAUAAAUAGGAGGAGGAGAAGAAUAAUAAGAAAUGAAGAAGAAGGAGAAGAAAAAGGAGAAGGUGGAGGAGGAGGAGGAGGAGAAGGAGAAGAAGAUGGAAAAGGUCUUCUCCUCCUUGUCCUUCUUCUCCUACUCCUCUCCUCCUCCUUCUCCUCCUCCUCCUUCUCCUNNNNNNNNNNNNNNNNNNNNNNNNNNNNNNNNNNNNNNNNNNNNNNNNNNNNNNNNNNNNNNNNNNNNNNNNNNNNNNNNNNNNNNNNNNNNNNNNNNNNNNNNNNNNNNNNNNNNNNNNNNNNNNNNNNNNNNNNNNNNNNNNNNNNNNNNNNNNNNNNNNNNNNNNNNNNNNNNNNNNNNNNNNNNNNNNNNNNNNNNNNNNNNNNNCUUCUCCUAUUCUUGGAUCUAAAUUUUGUAAUUAUGUCUUUUUGGAGUUAAAUGGGGUAAUUAUGUCAUUUUGGAGCUAAAUGGGAAAAUUAUGUCAUUGUUGGGGAAAAUAAGGUAAGGAGAAUAUGAAAGAGGAGAAUAAAGAGGGGGAGAAGAAGAAGAAUAAGAAAUCAAGAAGAAGGAGAAGAAGAAGGAGAAGGAGAAGGAGGAGAAGAAGGAAAAUGUCUUAUCCUCCUUCUCCUUCUUGUCCUCCUCCUCUCCUCCUCCUUCACCUCCUCCUCGUCCUUCUCCUUCUCUUCUUCUUCUCUUCAUCAUCUUCUUCUUCUUGCUUCUUUUCAUUUUUCCUAUUUAUUCUCCUCUUCUCCUAUUCUUGGAGCUAAAUUUUCUAAUUAUGUCUUUUUGAGGCUAAUUGGGCUAAUUAUGUCAUUUUGGAGAUAAAUGGGGGUAAUUAUGUCAUUGUUGGGGAAAAUAAGGUAAGGAGAAUAUGAAAGAGGAGAAUAAAGAGGAUGAUGAGAAGAAGAAGAAGAAAUCAAGAAGAAGGAGAAGAAGAAGGAGAAGGAGUAGAAGGAGGAGAAGAAGGAAAAGGUCUUCUCCUCCUUCUCCUUCUCCUCCUCCUCUCCUCCUCCUCCUUCUCCUUCUCUCCUUCUUCUCUUCUUCUUCUUCUUCCUUCUUUUCAUUUUUCCUAUUUCUUCUCCUCUUAUCCUAUUCUUGGAGCUAAAUUUUCUAAUUAUGUCUUUUUGGAGCUAAAUGGGGUAAUUAUGUCAUUUUGGAGUUAAAUUAGCUAAGUAUAUAAUAUUCAUGAGCUAACCAAGGUUCUUAUGCCAUUUUGAGCUUAUUAUUUCAUUUUUUAGCUAAAUUGGUCAUUUUAAUGAGCUAACCAAGGUUCUUAUGAUGUUUUCACCUAACUAAGCUAAUUAUGUCAUUUUGUAGGAUAAUUAGCCAAUUUAGUCUUUCUUGGAUGACUCUAAGAUUUGUAGAAGAAGAGAAAGAGAAGAAGCAAGAAGAGAAGAAGAAGUAAAAGAAGAAGGAGUAGUAGGAGGAGGAGGAGGAGAAGGAGAAGGAAGAGGAGAAGAAGAAGAAAAGAAGAAGGAGAAGGAGAAGGACGAAGAAGGACGAAGAAGAAGGAGAAGGAGGAGCUCCUUCUCCUUCUUCUCCUCCUUCUCCUCCUUCUUAUCCUUCUUCGUAUCCUCUUCUUCUUCUCUUCUUCUUCUUCUUCUUCCUUCCUUUUAUUUUCCUCUUUCUUCUCCUCUUGUCCCCUUCUUUGGGCUAAAUUAGCUAAGAAUGCCUUUUUGGAGCUAAUUAUGUCAUUUCGAGGAUAAUUAUCUAAGUAUAUGUCAUGUUUUAUUAAAUAAACCAUUUUGGAGCUAACUAAGCUAAUUAUGUCAUUUAGGUGGAAGCCUAGCUAACUAUAGGUCAUUUCGGAGCUAACUCGGGUAAAAUGUGUCAUUCAUGAGCAAACUAUGCUUAUUAAGCCAUUUAGGAUUUAGCUAAGCUAAUUAAAGGCCAUUUAAUACCUAAGUUAGGGGAAUAGGUCAUCUUCGAGCUACCUAAGCCUUAUUAUGUCAUUUAGGAGAGAACUUAGCUAACUAUAGGUCAUUUUUUUAUUAAAUAGGUCAUUUUGGAACUAACUAAGCUAAUUAUGUCAUGUAGGUGGAAGCCUAGCUAACUAUAGGUUGUUUCGGAGCUCAUUUGGGUUAAAUAUGUCAUUUUGGAGCUAACUAUGCUUAUUAAGCCAUAUUGGAGCUAAAUUGGCUAAUUAUAUCAUUUAGGUGGAACCCAAGCUAAGUAUAUAAUAUUCACGAGCUAACCAAGGUUCUUAUGCCAUUUUGAGCUUAUUAUUUGAUUUUUAGCUAAAUUGGUCAUUUUAAUGAGCUAACCAAGGUUCUUAUGAUGUUUUCACCUAACUAAGCUAAUUAUGUCAUUUUGUAGGAUAAUUAGCCAAUUUAGUCUUUCUUGGAUGAGUCUAAGCUACGUCAAAGAAGAGAAAGAGAAGAAGCAAGAAGAGAAGAAAAAGUAAAAGAAUAAGGAGGAGGAGGAGGAGGAGAAGGAGAAGGAAGAGGAUAAGAAGAAGAAAAGAAGAAGGAGAACGAGAAGGAGGAAGGAGGAGGAAGAAGAAGGAGAAGGAGCUUCUUCUUCUCCUUCUCCUUCCUCUUAUCCUUCUUCUUCUCUUCUUCUUCUUCUUCCUUCCUUUGAUUUGUCCUCUUUCUUCUCGUCUUGUCCCCUUCUUCGGGUUAAUUAGAUAAGAAUGCCUUUUUGGAGCUAAUUAUGUCAUUUCGAGGAUAAUUAGCUAAGUAUAGGUCAUGUUUUAUUAAAUAGACCACUUUGGAGCUAACUAAGCUAAUUAUGUCAUUUAGGUGGAAGCCUAGCUAAUUUUUAUUAAAACACUAGAAAUAAGAUACCAUUAUCGUCAUCACGGCGGUGAAGCACAGUGGCUCUGGCUUGUUUCAACUCGAGAAGGCUGCCCUGGAGAAGACUCCACUGUAGAAGGGUCGUGCGAUGCGUUUCGGGAGAUAUUCUGCACCAAACAUCGUUUGCAAUGUGUCGUUAGCAUGAGGACACUCUUAAGAUCAUUGCACUAAAAUGAAACUCACCGUCCCCGCCAUGUUAAUGACUGGCAUCGGCGGAGGGACUUGGCCGGUCUUCUCGCACAUAGACUGUACAUUUGGUUUCGACAAGUCAAACUUUUUAUUUAUUAAUGAAACGGACAUUAAAAUGCAAGAUUUGAAAUAACAUGAAGAAGAAACUUACCACGAAGAGCUCGUAUAUGGCCCUGUUAGACGCAUCAUUCUGUGCCCUCUCCGCCUACACCAAUGCAGUCGUCCUCUCCUCCAGCUCCCUCAUCUCCUUAUCCUUCUCCGCCAUAGCCGCCUGAAUUGCCUCUCUCUCUUUCUGAAUAGGAGCCUGCAACACAACUCAUUGUUAGCAAAGUAAUCAUAUUGGUUCCAACGCACAACAUAAUGCGGAAAGAUAGUUGAGUCCAUUAAACUAACCUCGAUGGCGAGAUCGACUGGCCGUGGAUGAGGUGUUAUCUCCGGACAGGAGCUCGCUUGGCGUGCCUUUAUCUGCCGGAGAGUGCUAGGACAACGUAUAAGGCCGUCUCCAAUGGUGAUCAAGCCAUGGGGCCUCCCGUUGCCAUCUAUCAUCACCAGCUCUGGAUCAAUAGGCCCCUUGCUCGGGUUAAAGUCCUCCCCUUUCCUCGCCUUCCCGUGAUCUCUGUACUUCACGAGCUUGUGGUGGAAUGAGAUGUUGGUGAAGUUUUCUGGAUGCUCGAGGUCAGACUCAGAGAAUGCCUUAACCUUCUUGUACGAGGCAGUAUGGGCCAUCGCAUACAGGUCGUACAUCUGUGGCACCUCCGUCUUAUUCUGACGCGCCUAAAAGAGAGAGAGAGGAAAAUUGUAUUAGUAAAGGGCUCAAGAUAGCAUUAAGAAUGAAUUGCAUGAGGCAUGAAGCAAACCACAUACCCAGUUCUCGCCAAAUUGGAUUAAGUUGACGCUCCCUUGAUGGUGUGGCACACCAACCAUUUUGCCACGCCUCUCCUUGGCGUUGUUGUGGCUGGCCUCCCACGUUUUGGAGCACCACUGAUCCACCAAGGCCUCCCAACAAUCCAUCUUAUCCACACACCAUCUCGGGGGCACCUAAGUUCAUAAAGAGAAAUUUGAGCGCGUAAGAACAAAAUCAAGGAAACUAACUACAAAGCCUUAAUAAUAUGUAAUUACCUUCAUGUAAUGCUCCUUCUCCAUCUUAGAAUCACGACACUUCGCCUUGUCCUUCCUAAUAUGCUGCGUGGCAUAGUAAUCUCGAACAACCUGCACCCGAGCCUUGUGCCGAAAGUUUUGAAGUACGCGGUGACAUUCGGUUUCGAUAAGCUUNNNNNNNNNNNNNNNNNNNNNNNNNNNNNNNNNNNNNNNNNNNNNNNNNNNNNNNNNNNNNNNNNNNNNNNNNNNNNNNNNNNNNNNNNNNNNNNNNNNNCGAUACUACUUUAGUUACUCCCACUAUGGCCAGCCUUAUUUUAAUGAGGAGUUUAGACGACAUUCGUCGAGGAGCACCCCGAGCUCCACCAGCCUCACACUCCUCGACGAAUGCCCCCACCCAUGCGCCUCCACAACUCGCUGCCCAUGACAUCUGACGACCGACGCUUCCGGCAAACUGGCCCCCGCCCUCGGACCUCGUUGGCCACACGCAUGUGCCGCUCACCUGCUCCCGGCGACACCACUGGAGAAGCAAGAGAUGGCAGAGUCGUCGUCCCGUCCAUCCUCCGGUGUCGCAAUCGCAGCAGCGCAUCCUCUAUGUUAAGCUUCCUCAAUCCCAUCGCUGGAGACGUCAAGCGUGCUCGAAUAUCGCCUCCUCCACCACCGCGAUUACAUCACUCAUCGCGCUCAACCUUGUCUCCUCGCUUUGAUCCCACUAUCGCACCCUUGAUAUGACCAUUACCGCUCGCUUGGUGAGCCUCCAGCGUCUGGGAGCCCACUAUUGCCCUGCGCACCGCCCUGCAUCACCACCACAACUCUCUGAUGCACCAUGGAUAGCUCCAUGCACCGCUUGCCUUUGCUCCCACACAGCAAGGCUGCAGCCUGCAGCUUCCUCAAGCAGAUGUGGUCGGUGUGCCAUCUGUUGGCCCAGACCGUGUCAUCAAGUACUUUCCGACGACACACGACGACUGAUGACAAUCGAUGAUGAAGCAAACCAACGCUGACGAACUCGACGAAGUUCCUUUACGUCGAGGUGUACUACACCAACGUAGCACAACUAGCAAGCUAGCAAGCUAGCUGAUCGAUUUGAAGAAACUCACGUAUGGGAAGCUAGCAGCCGUGAUGGAUUCACCUGGUUCCUACGUACGCAUAUACGAGUCGCCGGCUGCUAAUUGGGUCGCUCCAAGUCUCACGAGACAACACGCCAAGCUGGCCAAAAGGCUCGUGUCGAGCCUUAUACUUUUAUUUCUUUUGAUCUCUCUGUCUCACGGUCGCAGCUUACAAGGGGAUAGCUACCUAUAUAUAAUAGUCGGGACAUUAGAUAAGAUAACCUACACGGCUACGAAUCCUAAUCCUACCACUAUACGAUGAUUGUCCUAUGUACAAACCGGACACAAACCACACAAGUCGUGGUUACUUCCAACAAUCACCCCCCUAAAACAACGUCAUCAUGUCACAGCUUCGACGCCGAUCCUUCUUUGCAUUUCCAGAAACUUCUCCCGAUCCAAAGCCUUGGUCAGGAUGUCCGCCAACUGAUCAUCGUUGCAAUUGUAGUUGACCUCCGUCUUCUCUUCUUCCACGUAGUCCUUCAUGUAGUGAUACAUCGUAUCAAUGUACUUGCUCCAAUCAUGCCGCACUAGAUCCUCACAUAGAAAAAAUUUAGACUCGUUAUCAACAUUGAGCACCACUUAUUCCGGAUCUCGAUCCAUGAGAUCACCGUGUAGCCUUAGCCACACAUCUUGACACUCUGCUUCACUUGAAGUCGAUGUCAUCACUUUCUGCUUUCGUGAUAGCCAGCUUACUAUGCUUACACCAAAGAAACAUGCCACCUCCAAGGUACUCUUACGGUCGUCAACAAUUCCUUCCUUGUCACUAUCACUAUAGCCGAGUAGUCUCACGAUCUUCUUCUUGCUCAGCUCAAGACGAGGUUUCAUUGAAGCAUCAAUUGGAUUGCAAUCUUUCAUAUCGCAACUUUCAAGUACUUUCCUUGUGUAUCCCUCCUUGCAUAUUGAAAUCCCUUCCGGCUUUUGAUGUACCUCUGGUCCGAGGUAGCAACUCAAAACACCUAGAUCAUACAUCUUGAAAAACUCCUUCAUUUGUAGCUUGAACUUUGCAAUCACCUCUUCAUCUGCUCUAGUAAUCAAUAGAUCAUGGUCGUAGAUGCCAACUAGUAGACGAUCCCUUCCUUCACCUCUCUUAUACAUUGCAUGCUCGAGUGGGGCUUUCUCAAAUCCAAGAGAAAUCAUAGUAUGAUCAAGUUUGAUGUUCCACGUCCAAUUGUUGGCCCAGACCUUGUCGUCGAGUACUUUCCGACGACAUGCGACAACCGAUGACAAUCGACGACGAAGCAAAGCAAUGCUGACGAACUCGACAAAGUUCCUUUACGUCGAGAUGUACUACACCAACGUAGCACAGCUAGCAAGUUAGCUGAUCGAUUUGAAGAAACUCACGUAUGGGAAGCUAGCAGCCCUCAUGGAUUCACCUAGUUCCUACGUAUGCAUGUACGAGUCGCAGGCUGCUAAUUGGGUCGCUCCAAGUCUCACGAGACAACACGCCAAGCUGGCCAAAAGGCUCGUGUUGAGAUUCAAUAUAAAUAAUGGAGCGAUUCAAUAUCUACUACAAAACUAGGAUUUUCCCAUUAUUUAAAGAAGUAAAAAACUAAGAAAACAAAACCAAUGUGAAGUUCAAAUUAAAAUAACACAGAAGUUCGGAGUUUAUUAAAACCUAGGAUUUACAUGUUCAAAAAACAAAAACAAAACACAUCACCAUUUUUGGAAUUUUUAAAAUCAACACAUAAAAUGAAAAACAUUUGUUGCUAGAAGUUCAAGUGCUUGGUGAGGGAAAGUUUGAAAGUGCUCGGCUAAAGACUUCCGUUUUCGGUUGAGUAGCAGUAGUCCCCAACUAUUUGGUGCUUUUUUCUAUCAUUUAUGCUCAUACAUUUGUGUCUCCGGAAUCCUCUAUGUCGUUCUGGUGCUCGCUACCCACAUAAGCAGAGGGAGGAAUAAGUUAACCACAUGGCAGGGGAGAAGGUCAGACAUGAGGUGCAAGGCACACGGGUGUCACCAUUGGGAGUUCAAGAAGAUGGUCAUGAUUUGUGAGAAUAAGUGUUGUUGCUGGGAUGCACUAUUGCUUCUUGUGAGGCCGCAUCGAGCUAGUUUCCUCAUCUACCUGGGUAUGCGCCUGUGCCUCACCACUGAACUCCUUUGUAUAUCCAGCAAAAAUAUNNNNNNNNNNNNNNNNNNNNNNNNNNNNNNNNNNNNNNNNNNNNNNNNNNNNNNNNNNNNNNNNNNNNNNNNNNNNNNNNNNNNNNNNNNNNNNNNNNNNGAGACUCCUAGGCGGUAGGAGUUCUUCGGAGAGGAAUCAAUCCGUGUGAUUUCCCCCGGAAAAUUUUGUGAGGGUUUGGAAGCCACCUCAAAGGCUUACCACUAGUGCUUGAGAAACGCCUUCGUGGAGUUGUCUCAAAGGGAGAAUAGGGUGAGCCUUCGUGGCGUUGGUGUGCCUUCGUGGUAACAUCCAGCUCUCUAACGGUGACUAGCUUCCCUCCAAGGAAGUGAACAUCGGGAUACAUCUUCGUCUGAGUGACCUUGGUUAUCCUUAACCCUAACUCCUUACUUGUGGUUUACUUGUGUUAUUUGAGCAUACAUACAUUGCAUAUUGCUUGUGCUUAUUAUAUUGUGUUGGCCAUUCCUUGUACAAGAUUAAUCAUUCAAGCAUACCCUCUGUAUCCACACGUACAUACUUGCAACCCUUGAUAUAUCGUGUGAUAUAGUGUGAUCUAGUAUCUUGUGUUAUUUACCUACUUGUCGUGUGAUAUAGCUCAAGUAAGUUUGUGUAACUUACUUGUGCUUGUUAGUAACUGCAUUGUGUCCAUCUUGGUAGAUCGUGUUGUUGAUACACGUUGCAGUGCCUAGUGCAUUUAGGAUUUGUGCUUGACAAGUACCCUCUUAGUUUAUUUCCGCAUCAGGUUCAAGCCAAAUCUUAAGAAGUUUUUAAAUAGCCUAUUCACCCCCCUCUAGGCGUCAUCGAGGUCUUUUCAAUUGGUAUCAGAGCUAGGUCUCUCUUUAAUUAGGUUUCACGACCUAGAGAGUAUCGAUGUCGACUAUUGGAUUAGUGCACAAUGGCAUCUUUGACUUUGAUGGCACAAAUUAUACCCUAUGGAGAAUUCGUAUGCUUCAUCACUUUCGGGCCAUGGGCCCAAAUACUUUACGAAUUGUUCUUGUAGGGAUUGCCGAAAAAAAGGAUGAUGCAUCUUCAUCUACUAAUGAAAUGUAUCUUGAUUGUGAGGCCUUUCUUGCCAUUCAUCGAACCAUAAGUCCUGAAGUGUUUAAGUCUAUCUCGACUUGCAAGUCGGCUCAUGAAGUUUGGACUAAACUUGAAGAUAUAUAUGGUGGGUCCAAUCUUGAUGAAGAUGGUAUUAUGAUGAAGGAGUUGGUGCAUGAACUCUUCACUCUUUUCGAUCUUAAAGAGUCCACCACUACUUCCAUAUCCGAUUGCUUGCACACCUCAGCAUCUUCAAUCUCACAAGGUAAUGACAUGGUGAGUGAAGAAAUAUAUGUUGAUGAAAAUGUCAUAGCCUCUAUGGACACGAGCAUAUCUAGCACCACACAUAGUGUAAAUUAUUGUGCUGAUAGGUCAUGCAUUUCACCUAAAGAUUCCUUGACAAAUGUCUGUGGUGAUAUGCUUGCUUCCUCGUGUCCUCUUGAUCAAAAUAUCUUGUUUCUCCCUAGUUGCUCUAUGACUAAUCAUUUAGGGGAUAUUAAGAAAUAUGAAGUACUUUUGACUAAUGAAGAAUCUGAUUCACCAAAAGAAUCAUCAUCAACUCCUCCAGUUCACAUGUGCCUCAUGGCAAGAGGUAAUAAUGAGGUAUCAUCUUCCCUGUGCAAUAACGAUGAUAUUUGCGAUGAGGAUGAUGAUGAUGAGUUGACUGAAAAUAUCUAUGUGAUCAGUAAAAUUCUUCAUAAAGCUAAAAAUAACGCUCUUCAAAGAUUCCAAGAUGUUCUUUCUUACUUUGAAAAUUGUAAUGAUUCACUUAAUCAUGAACAAGCUAAAAGUGAACAACUUGAACAUGAACUUGAGAAGAGUCAUCAAGCAUGUAGAGACUUAAGAUCUUCAAAAGGAGAGAUUGAAGUUGCUCAUGAUAAACUUAAAAAGGAUUUUGAGGUCCUUCUCCUUGAAUGCAAUAAUGUCAAGGGAGAGCUCAUCAAAACCUCUAAGAUCUAUGAGGAGCUUCAAUCUACUCAUGAGAAGUCUCUAUUUGCUACUUACUCGUCUCAUAUUGUUGAUGAUACUUGUACAUCUAACUCUACAUCAUUUGAAGUAUCAACAUUGAAGGAGAAUGUUGAGCUACGUGCUCAACUUGAUUUACUAACUAGCAAUUAUGGGAAGUUGGAAGAAAACCAUGUAAUGCUCACAAGCUCUCAUGCCGAUCUUCUAACAUCCCAUAAUGUGCAAAAGUUAGCUUAUGAGGCUAUCAUCACCAAGGUAACAUCUAGCGAGCCUCAUGUGGACAAUGGCACUACUUCUAGUCAAAGUACUAUAUUUCCAUGUGCUAGUCCUCGUAAUUCGUCUACUCAUAAUGUUGCUACCUCGUGUGAUGAAUUACUUUCCUUGCCUUGUUGCUCUAACAUUGAAGCUUACACUUCCUCCAGUACUUGCAUUGAUACUAACCGUGCAGAGGAAAUCAAAGAGCUCAAGGCCCAAGUCACUUCUUUGAAGAAAGACUUGGAACAGUGUCAUGAAGGGAUGCCCACACUCAACAACGUCCUGUGUGAGCAAACAUCUCCGAAUGACAAAAAUGAGUUUGGAGUAAACUCAAACAAGAACAAGAGGGGCCUAGAACAAGUCAAGAAUUCGGCCAAAAUCAUUUGCUUCAAGUGCAAAGUUAAAGGGCACCAUGUUAGAUCCCUCUGAAGACGAAGUCUCAAAGUCACAAGCAACAAGGGAAGCGGUCACAAACUCAAUCACAUAUUCAACUACAAGUUGAAGGAAGGCCUCUUCCCAAUAAGACCCAAGCCAACACUCCCCAAGGUGAGAAAUCAACUGGGAAGAAAACAAAGGGUAGAUGUUGUUGUGGAUGGUGAAGGAAGGCCUCUUCCCAAUAAGACCCAAGUCACUUAAUCAUGGUGAUGUCCAUCUACGAGAGGGGAUGAGUGAUCUACAUACCCUUGUAGACCGUACAGCAGAAGCGUUAGUGAACACGAUUGAUGUAGUGGAACGUCCUCACGUCCCUCAAUCCGCCCCGCGAACUAUCCCGCGAUCAGUCCCACGAUCUAGUGCCGAACGGACGGCACCUCCGCGUUCAGCACACGUACAGCUCGACGAUGAUCUCAGCCUUCUUGAUCCAGCAAGAGAGACGGAGAGGUAGAAGAGUUCUCCGGCAGCGUGACGGCGCUCCGGAGGUUGGUGAUGAUCUCGUCUCAGCAGGGCUCCGCCCGAGCUCCGCAGAAACGCGAUCUAGAGGAAAAACCGUGGAGGUAUGUGGUCGGGCUGCCGUGGAAAAGUCGUCUCAAAUCAGCCCUAAAACCUCCAUAUAUAUAGGUGGGAGAGGGGGGGCCUUGCCUUGGGGCUCAAGGAGCCCCAAGGGGUUCGGCCGAGCCAAGGGGGGAAGGUCUCCCCCCCAAACCGAGUUGGACUUGGUUUGGUGGGUGGGAGUCCUUCCUUCCCUUCCCACCUCCUCUUUUUUUUCUCUUCUCUUUGAUUUUUCUUCCAAUGCACAUAGGGCCCUUUUGGGCUGUCCCACCAGCCCACUAAGGGCUGGUGCGCCACCCUUAAGGCCUAUGGGCUUCCCCGGGGUGGGUUACCCCCCCGGUGAACUCCCGGAACCCAUUCGUCAUUCCCGGUACAUUCCCGGUAACUCUGAAAACCUUCCGGUAAUCAAAUGAGGUCAUCCUAUAUAUCAAUCUUCGUUUCCGGACAAUUUCGGAAACCGUCGUGAUGUCCGUGAUCUCAUCCGGGACUGCGAACAACAUUCGGUAACCAACCAUAUAACUCAAAUACGCAUAAAACAACGUCGAACCUUAAGUGUGCAGACCCUGCGGGUUCGAGAACUAUGUAGACAUGACCUGAGAAACUCCUCGAUCAAUAUCCAAUAGCGGGACCUGGAUGCCCAUAUUGGAUCCUACAUAUUCUACGAAAAUCUUAUCGUUUGAACCUCAGUGCCAAGGAUUCAUAUAAUCCCAUAUGUCAUUCCCUUUGUCCUUCGGUAUGUUACUUGCCCGAGAUUCGAUCGUCAGUAUCCGCAUACCUAUUUCAAUCUCGUUUACCGGCAAGUCUCUUUACUCAUUCCGUAAUACAAGAUCCCGCAACUUACCCUAAGUUACAUUGCUUGCAAGGCUUGUGUGUGAUGUUGUAUUACCGAGUGGGCCCCGAGAUACCUCUCCGUCACACGGAGUGACAAAUCCCAGUCUUGAUCUAUACUAACUCAACGAACACCUUCGGAGAUACCUGUAGAGCAUCUUUAUAGUCACCCAGUUACGUUGUGACGUUUGAUACACACAAAGUAUUCCUCCGGUGUUAGUGAGUUAUAUGAUCUCAUGGUCAUAGGAACAAAUACUUGACACGCAGAAAACAGUAGCAACAAAAUGACACGAUCAACAUGCUACGUCUAUUAGUUUGGGUCUAGUCCAUCACGUGAUUCUCCUAAUGACGUGAUCCAGUCAUCAAGCAACAACACCUUUGUUCAUAAUCAGAAGACACUGACUAUCUUUGAUCAACUGGCUAGCCAACUAGAGGCUUGCUAGGGACAGUGUUUUGUCUAUGUAUCCACACAUGUAAAUGAGUCUUCAUUCAAUACAAUUAUAGCAUGGAUAAUAAACGAUUAUCUUGAUACAGGAAUUAUAAUAAUAACUAUAUUUAUUAUUGCCUCUAGGGCAUAAUUCCAACAGUCUCCCACUUGCACUAGAGUCAAUAAUCUAGCCCUCACAUCAUCAUGCGAAUUACAUUGUAAUAAAUCUAACACCCAUACAGUUCUGGUGUUGAUCAUGCUUUGGCCGUGGAAGAGGUUUAGUCAGCGGGUCUGCUACAUUCAGAUCUGUGCGCACUUUGCAUAUAUUUAUGUCCUCUCCUUCGACGUAGUCGCGGAUGAGGUUGAAGCGUCGUUUGAUGUGUCUAGACUUCUUGUGAAACCGUGGUUCCUUUGCUAAGGCAAUGGCACCCGUGUUGUCACAGAACAAGGUUAUUCGAUUCAGUGCGCUUGGCACCACUCCAAGAUCCGUCAUGAAGUGCUUCAUCUAGACACCCUCCUUAGCCGCCUCCGAGGCAGCCAUGUACUCCGCUUCACAUGUAGAAUCUGCUACGACGCUUUGCUUGGAACUGCACCAGCUUACCGCACCCCCAUUAAGAAUAAAUACGUAUCCGGUUUGCGACUGAGAGUCGUCCGGAUCUGUGUCAAAGCUUGCAUCGACGUAACCUUUUACGGCGAGCUCUUCGUCACCUCCAUACACGAGAAACAUCUCCUUAGUCCUUUUCAGGUACUUCAGGAUAUUCUUGAGCGCUGUCAACUGAUCCACUCCUGGAUUACUCUGGAACCUACCUGCCAUACUUAUGGCCAGGCUAACGUCCGGUCUAGUGCACAGCAUUGCAUACAUGAUAGAACCUAUGGCUGAAGCAUAGGGGACGGAGCGCAUAUGCUCUCUAUCUUCAUCAGUUGCUGGGCACUGAGUCUUACUCAAUCUCGUACCUUGUAAAACUGGCAAGAAGCCCUUCUUGGACUGUUUCAUUUUGAACCUCUUCAAAACUUUAUCAAGGUAUGUGCUUUGUGAAAGUCCUAUCAGGCGUUUUGAUCUAUCCCUAUAGAUCUUAAUGCCUAGAAUGUAAGCAGCUUCUCCUAGGUCCUUCAUAGAGAAACUUUUAUUCAAGUAAUCCUUUAUGCUUUCCAAAAACUCCAUGUUGUUUCCAAUCAGCAAUAUGUCAUCCACAUAUAAUAUUAGAAACGCCACAGAGCUCCCACUCACUUUCUUGUAAAUACAAGAUUCUCCAACCACUUGUAUAAACCCAAAUGCUUUGAUCACCUCAUCAAAACGUUUGUUCCAACUCCGAGAUGCUUGCACCAGUCCAUAAAUGGAUCGCUGGAGCGUGCACACCUUGUUAGCAUUCUUAGGAUUGACAAAACCUUCGGGUUGUAUCAUAUACAAUUCUUCCUUAAGGAAAUCGUUAAGGAACGCCGUUUUGACAUCCAUCUGCCAGAUUUCAUAAUCAAAAAAUACAGCUAUUGCUAACAUGAUUCUGACGGACUUAAGCAUCGCUACGGGUGAGAAUGUCUCAUCGUAGUCAACUCCUUGAACUUGUGAAAAACCCUUUGCCACAAGUCGAGCUUUUAUAAACGGUCACAUUGCCGUCAGCGUCCAUCUUCCUCUUAAAGAUCCAUUUGUUCUGAAUAGCCUUGCGGCCCUCAGGCAGUACCUCCAAAGUACACACUUUGUUCUCAUACAUGGAUUCUAUCUCAGACUUCAUGGCUUCUAGCCAUUUGUUGGAAUCUGGGCCCACCAUUGCUUCUUCAUAAUUUGCAGGUUCAUUGUUGUCCAACAACAUGAUUGAUAAGACGGGAUUACCGUACCACUAUGGAGCAGUACGUGGUCUCGUCGACCUGUGUGGUUCGACAGAAACUUGAACCGGAGUUUCAUGAUCAUCAUCAUUAACUUCCUCCUCAACCGGCGUCGCAACGACAGAGGUUUCCCCUUGCCCUGCGCCACCAUCCAGAGGGAUGAGAGGUUCGACAACCUCGUCAAGUUCUAUCUUCCUCCCACUCAAUCUCUCGAGAGAAACUCCUUCUCGAGAAAAGCUCCGUUUUUAGCAACAAACACUUUGCCCUCGGGUUUGAGAUAGAAGGUGUACCCAACUGUCUCUUUUGGGUAACCUAUGAAGACGCACUUUUCUGCUUUGGGUUCCAGUUUUUCAGGCUGAAGCUUUUUGACAUAAGCAUCACAUCCCCAAACCUUAAGAAACGACAACUUUGGCCUUUUGCCAUACCACAGUUCGUAUGGUGUCGUCUCAACGGAUUUUGAUGGUGCCCUAUUUAAAGUGAAUGCAGCUGUUUCUAAUGCAUAACCCCAAAACGAUAACGGCAAAUCGGUAAGAGACAUCAUGGAUCGCACCAUCUCUAAUAAAGUACGAUUACGACGUUCGGACACACCAUUACACUGUGGUGUUCCAGGCGGUGUCAACUGUGAAACAAUCCCACAUUGUCUUAAGUGAGCACCAAACUCGAAACUCAGAUAUUCACCCCCACGAUCAGACCGUAGGAACUUGAUCUUCUUGUUACGAUGAUUUUCAACUUCACUCUGAAAUUGCUUGAACUUUUCAAAUGUUUCAGACUUGUGCUUCAUCAAGUAGACAUAACCAUAUCUACUCAAAUCGUUAGUGAAGGUGAGAAAAUAACGAUAUCCGCCGCGUGCCUCCACGCUCAUCGGACCACACACAUCGGUAUGUAUGAUUUCCAACAAGUCACUUGCAUGCUCCAUUGUUCCGGAGAAUGGAGUCUUAGUCAUCUUGCCCAUGAGGCAUGGCUCGCACGUGUCAAGUGAAUCAAAGUCAAGUGACUCCAAAAGUCCAUCAGCAUGGAGUUUCUUCAUGCGCUUUACACCAAUAUGACCUAAGCGGCAGUGCCACAAAAAUAUGGCGCUAUCAUUGUUAACUCUAACUCUUUUGGUCUCAAUGUUAUGUAUGUGUGUAUCACUAUCAAGAUUCAAUAUGAACAAUCCUCUCACAUUGGGUGCAUGACCAUAAAAGAUGUUACUCAUAGAAAUAGAACAACCAUUAUUCUCUGACUUAAAAGAGUAACCGUCUCGCAAUAAACAAGAUCCAGAUAUAAUGUUCAUGCUCAACGCAGGCACUAAAUAACAAUGAUUUAAGUUCAUAACUAAUCCUGAUGGUAACUGAAGUGAAACUGUGCCGACGGCGAUUGCAUCAACCUUGGAACCAUUUCCUACGCGCAUCGUCACUUCAUCUUUCGCCAACCUUCGUCUAUUCCGCAGUUCCUGUUUCGAGUCGCAAAUAUGAGCAACAGAACCGGUAUCGAAUACCCAGGCACUACUACGAGAGCCGGUUAAGUACACAUCAAUAACUUGUAUAUCAAAUAUACCUGAUUUUUCUUUGGCCGCCUUCUUAUCUGCGAGAUACUUGGGGCAAUUGCGCUUCCAGUGACCCAUACCCUUGCAAUAGUAACACUCCGUUUCAGGCUUAGGUCCAGCUUUGGGUUUCUUCGUCGGAUUGGCAACAGGCUUGCCGCUCUUCUUUGAAUUACCCUUCUUGCCUUUGCCGUUUCUCUUGAAACUAGUGGUCUUAUUCACCAUCAACACUUGAUGCUCUUUACGGAGUUNNNNNNNNNNNNNNNNNNNNNNNNNNNNNNNNAAAUAGAACAACCAUUAUUCUCUGACUUAAAAGAGUAACCGUCUCGCAAUAAACAAGAUCCAGAUAUAAUGUUCAUGCUCAACGCAGGCACUAAAUAACAAUGAUUUAAGUUCAUAACUAAUCCUGAUGGUAACUGAAGUGAAACUGUGCCGACGGCGAUUGCAUCAACCUUGGAACCAUUUCCUACGCGCAUCGUCACUUCAUCUUUCGCCAACCUUCGUCUAUUCCGCAGUUCCUGUUUCGAGUCGCAAAUAUGAGCAACAGAACCGGUAUCGAAUACCCAGGCACUACUACGAGAGCCGGUUAAGUACACAUCAAUAACUUGUAUAUCAAAUAUACCUGAUUUUUCUUUGGCCGCCUUCUUAUCUGCGAGAUACUUGGGGCAAUUGCGCUUCCAGUGACCCAUACCCUUGCAAUAGUAACACUCCGUUUCAGGCUUAGGUCCAGCUUUGGGUUUCUUCGUCGGAUUGGCAACAGGCUUGCCGCUCUUCUUUGAAUUACCCUUCUUGCCUUUGCCGUUUCUCUUGAAACUAGUGGUCUUAUUCACCAUCAACACUUGAUGCUCUUUACGGAGUUCAGACUCUGCGACUUUCAGCAUCGCAAACAACUCGCCGGGAGACUUGUUCAUCCCUUGCAUGUUGUAGUUCAACACAAAGCCUUUAUAGCUUGGCGGUAGUGAUUGAAGGAUUCUGUCAGUGAUAGCCUCUUGCGGGAGUUCAAUCCCCAGCUCAGCUAGACGGUUUGAGUACCCAGACAUUUUGAGCACAUGUUCACUGACAGACGAGUUUUCCUCCAUCUUGGAAGCAUAGAAUUUAUCGGAGGUCUCAUACCUCUCGAUCCGGGCGUUCUUCUGAAAGAUAAACUUCAACUCCUGGAACAUCUCAAAUGCUCCAUGACGCUCAAAGCGACGUUGAAGUCCCGGUUCUAGGCCAUACAAGACUGCACAUUGAACUAUUGAGUAGUCCUCCUUACGUGCUAACCAAGCGUUCUUAACAUCCUGAUCAGCCGUAGCGGGUGAUUCAUCUCCUAGCGCAGCAUUAAGGACAUAAUCCUUCUUCCCAGCUUGUAAGAUUAGCUUAAGAUUACGAGCCCAGUCUACAAAGUUGCUUCCAUCAUCUUUCAACUUAGCUUUCUCUAGGAACGCAUUAAAAUUCAGGGUGACUGUCGCGUGAGCCAUGAUCUACAACACAAAUAUAUUCAAAGUGGACUUAGACUAUGUUCAAGAUAAUUAGAGUUUAACUUAAUCAAAUUAUUCGCUAAACUCCCACUCAAAAAGUACAUCUCUCUAGUCAUUUGAGUGGUUCAUGAUCCACUUACACUAGCUCAAGUCCGAUCAUCACGUGAGUUGAGUAUAGUUUCAGUGGUAAGCAUACCUAUGCUAAUCAUAUCAUCUAUAUGAUUCAUGAUCGACCUUUCGGUCUCAUGUGUUCCGUGGCCAUGUCUGCACAUGCUAGGCUCGUCAAGCUUAACCCGAGUGUUCCGCGUGCGCAACUGUUUUGCACCCGUUGUAUGUGAACGUUGAGUCUAUCACACCCGAUCAUCACGUCGUGUCUCGAAACGACGAACUGUAGCAACGGUGCACAGUCGGGGAGAACACAGUUUCGUCUUGAAAUUUUAGUGAGAGAUCACCUCAUAAUGCUACCGUCGUUCUAAGCAAAAUAAGGUGCAUAAAAGGAUUAACAUCACAUGCAAUUCAUAAGUGACAUGAUAUGGCCAUCAUCACGUGCUUCUUGAUCUCCAUCACCAAAGCAUCGGCACGAUCUUCUUGUCACCGGCGCCACACCAUGAUCUCUAUCAACGUGUCAUCAUCGGGGUUUUCGUGCUACUCAUGCUAUUACUACUAAAGCUACAUCCUAGCAAAAUAGUAAACGCAUCUGCAAGCACAAAUGUUAGUAUAAAGACAACCCUAUGGCUCCUGCCGGUUGCCGUACCAUCGACGUGCAAGUCGAUAUUAUCUAUUACAACAUGAUCAUCUCAUACAUCCAAUAUAUCUCAUCACAUCGUUGGCCAUAUCACAUCACAAGCAUACCCUGCAAAAACAAGUUAGACGUCCUCUAAUUUUGUUGUUGCAUGUUUUACGUGGUGACCACGGGUAUCUAGUAGGAUCGCAUCUUACUUACGCAAACACCACAACGGAGAUAUAUGAGUUGCUAUUUAACCUCAUCCAAGGACCUCCUCGGUCAAAUCCGAUUCAACUAAAGUUGGAGAAACCGACACUUGCCAGUCAUCUUUGAGCAACGGGGUUACUCGCAGCGAUGAAACCAGUCUCUCGUAAGCGUACGAGUAAUGUCGGUCCAAGCCGCUUCAAUCCAACAAUACCGCGGAAUCAAGAAAAGACUAAGGAGGGCAGCAAAACGCACAUCACCGCCCACAAAAACUUUUGUGUUCUACUCGAGAAGACAUCUAUGCAUGAACCUAGCUCAUGAUGCCACUGUUGGGGAACGUCGCAUGGGAAACAAAAAAUUUCCUACGCGCACGAGGACCUAUCAUGGUGAUGUCCAUCUACGAGAGGGGAUGAGUGAUCUACAUACCCUUGUAGACCGUACAGCAGAAGCNNNNNNNNNNNNNNNNNNNNNNNNNNNNNNNNNNNNNNNNNNNNNNNNNNNNNNNNNNNNNNNNNNNNNNNNNNNNNNNNNNNNNNNNNNNNNNNNNNNNGCAGGAGGCUGCCGCCCAGCCGGUUGUGCGCGAUGUUCACCCUCGUGAUGUUCCGGCACUCGAACAUGCCAUCCGGGACUACGCCGGACAGCGAGUUGUUGUACAGCAUGAACUGCUGGAGCGAUUGGAGCUUCUCAAACGUCGCCGGGAUUUCACCGGACAGAGCAUUGUCCGCCAAGUCGAGAACCUGGAGCUGAUGACAGUCGCCGAGCUCCGGCGGAAUCAGGCCCGACAGCUCGUUCUGCCGGAGGUGAAGGAAGAUCAGUUCGGACAGAUUCCCGAUGGACGCCGGUAUGCUCCCGUUGAACUGGUUCCCAAAGAAGUCGAUCAUCUGCAAGCUCGAGCACUUCCCGAUGGUCUCCGGUAUCUCGCCGGAGAACUGGUUCUCGUACAAGUACAGUUCCUGGAGGUUCUUCAGAUUGCCGAUGGCGUCCGGCAGCUGGCCUGUGAGCUGAUUGUGGUACAGUGCAAGGCUAGUGAGCUCAGUGAGGUUAAAGAUNAGCUGAUUGUGGUACAGUGCAAGGCUAGUGAGCUCAGUGAGGUUAAAGAUCUCCGGCGGCAGUCCGCCAGAGAGGCUGUUGUUAUUGAGCAGCAGACCCGUCAGGUUCCCGAGCUCGCCGAGCCCGGGCGGGAUGGCGCCAGAGAGGCUGUUGUUCGCCAAGUCGAGCUGCGUCAGCGCACGGCACCGCGACAGCCCGUCCGGUAUCUCCCCGGUGAGGUUGUUGGUGGAGAGCAGGAGGUGCUCGAGGCUAGUGGAUGACUCUUCUUCGUUGCUGCCGCUACACAGGUUGCCCGGAAGGCGGCCGCUGAGGUGGUUGUCGGCGAGCACAAGGAAGUUCAGCUGCGGUAGCCGGCCGAGCUCGGCGGGGAGCCCGCCAGUGAGCAUGUUACCGGACAGGUCAAUGGUGUGCACGCGAGAGAGCGCGGCGAGAGCGCGCGGCACGCUCCCAGAGAGGCGGUUGUUCAUGAGGUUGAGGUACAGGAGCUCGCCCAGAGCGCCGAGCUCCGGCGGUAUGGCGCCCUCCAAUGAAUUGUUCCCGAGGUUGAGCUUCUGGAGGUAGGAGAGCUUCCCAAGCUCCGGCGGUAUCUUGCCGGUGAGGUGAUUCCCAGCGAGAGCAAGCGCCUCGAGGCUGGCCAUGGCGCCGAUGUCCGCUGGUAUCGGCCCGGAAAGGGAGUUCUCUUGCAGGUUCAAGGCCGUGAGCGCAGCGAGCCUCCCUAGCCCCCCCGGUAUCUCUCCGGUCAGGUUGCACGACGCGAGCCCGAUCACGGUGAGGUUCCGAAGCUCCCCGAGCGCUUUGGGGAUUGGCCCCGACAAGCCAAGGUUGUCGCCGAGGCGCAGCACCUGGAGCGCGGCGAGUCUGCCCAGCGACGCGGGGAUCCCGCCGGCGAGCUGGUUGGAGUAGAGCAUGAGAAGCUGGAGCCUUUCGAGCCCCCCGAGAGCAGCCGGGAUGGGGCCGGUGAUGCGGUUGGACGACAGAUCGAUGACCUCCAGUGCGUCGAGCCGCGCGAGCGCCCCGGGAACCGGCCCGGACANNNNNNNNNNNNNNNNNNNNNNNNNNNNNNNNNNNNNNNNNNNNNNNNNNNNNNNNNNNNNNNNNNNNNNNNNNNNNNNNNNNNNNNNNNNNNNNNNNNNUGCAUAGAGAGAGCUAUAGUUGUUCCUUUCCAGCUAUUUCUGAACUUCUACGACGUGAUGCAUUUUUUCAUGUAAUAGAUUCACAACAACUAUAGGAGGGAGUAUAUUUUUACUGGAUAUACAAAGGAGUUCAGCGGUGAGGCACAAGCGCAUACCCAAGUAGAGGAGGAAACUAGCUCGAUGCGGCCUCACAAGAAGCAAUACUGCAUCCCAGCAACAACACUGAUUCUCACAAAUCAUGACCAUCUUCUUGAACUCCCAAUGGUGACACCCGUGUUCCUUGCACCUCAUGUGUGACCUUCUCCCCUGCCAUGUGGUUAACUUAUUCCUCCCUCUGUUUAUGUGGGUAGCGAGCACCAGAGCGACAUGGAGGAUUCCGGAGACACAAAUGUAUGAGCAUAAAUGAUAGAAAAAAGCAUCAAAUAGUUGGGGACUACUGCUACUCAACCGAAAACGAAAGUCUCUAGCCGAGCACUUUCAAACUUUCCCUCACCGAGCACUUGAACUUCUAGCAACAAAUGUUUUUCGUUUUAUGUGCUGGUUUUAAAAAUUCCAAAAAUGGUGAUGUGUCUUGUUUUUGUUUUUUGAACAUGUAAAUCCUAGGUUUUAAUAAACUCCGAACUUUUGUGUUAUUUUAAUUUGAACUUCACAUUGGUUUUGUUUUCUUUGUUUUUUACUUCUUUAAGUAAUGGAAAAAUCCUAGUUUUGUAAUAGAUAUUGAAUCGCUGUGUUAUUUAUAUUGAAUCUCAACACGAGCCUUUUGGCCAGCUUGGCGUGUUGUCUCGUGAGACUUGGAGCGACCCAAUUAGCAGCCGGCGACUCGUACAUGCGUACGUAGGAACCAGGUGAAUCCAUCAGGGCUGCUAGCUUCCCAUACGUGAGUUUCUUCAAACCGAUCAGUUAGCUUGCUAGCUGUGCUACGGUGGUGUAGUACAUCUCGACGUAAAGGAACUUCGUCGAGUUCAUCAGCGUUGCUUUGCUUCGUCGUUGAUUGUCAUUGGUUGUCGCGUGUCGUCGGAAAGUACUCGACGACACGGUCUGGGCCAAAAAUUGGACGUUGAACAUCAAACUUGAUCAGACUAUGAUUUCUCUUGGAUUUGAGAAACCCUACUCGAGCAUGCAAUGUACAAGAGAGGUGAAGGAAGGGAUCGUCUACUAGUUGGCAUCUACAAUGACGAUCUAUUGAUUACUAGAGCAGAUGAAGAGGUGAUUGCAAAGUUCAAGCUACAAAUGAAGGAGUUUUUCAAGAUGUAUGAUCUAGUUCUUUGGAGUUGCUACCUCGGACCAGAGGUACAUCAAAAGCCAGAAGGGAUCACACUAUGCCAGGAGGGAUACGCAAGGAAAGUACUUGAAAGCUGUGGCAUGAAAGAUUGCAAUCCAAUUGAUGCUUCAAUGAAACCUCGUCUUGAGCUGAGCAAGAAGAAGAUGGUGAGACUACUCGGCUAUAGUGAUAGUGACAAGGAAGGAAUUGUUGACGACCGUAAGAGUACCUCGGACGUGGCAUGUUUCUUUGGUGGAAGCAUAGUAUGCUGGCUAUCACGAAAGCAGAAAGUGAUGACACCGACUUCAAGUGAAGCAGAGUGUCAAGAUGUGUGGCUAAGGCUACACGAUGAUCUCAUGGAUCGAGAUCCGGAAUAAGUGGUGCUCAAUGUUAAUAAAGAGUCUAUAUUUUUUCUAUGUGAGGAUCCAGUGCGGCAUGAUUGGAGUAAGCACAUUGAUACGAUGUAUCACUACAUGAAGGACUACGUGGGAGAAGAGAAUACGGAGGUCAACUACAAUCGCAACGAUGAUCAGUUGGCGAACAUCCUGACCAAGGCUUUGGAUCGGGAGAAGUUUCUGGAUAUGCAAAGAAGGAUCGGCGUCGAAGCUGUGACAUGAUGACGUCGUGUUUAGGGGGUUGAUUGUUGGAAAUUACCACGACAUGUGUGGUCUGUGUCCGGUUCGUACACAGGACAAUCAUUCGUAGACGUGUAGGUUAUCUUAUCUAAUGUCCCGACUAUUAUAUAUAGGUAGCUAUCCCCUUGUAAGCUGCAACCGCGAGACAGAGAGAUCAAAAGCAAUAAAAGUAUAAGGCUCGACAUGAGCCUUUUGGCCAGCUUGGCGUGUUGUCUCGUGAGACUUGGAGCGACCCAAUUAGCAGUCGGCAACUCGUACAUGCGUACGUAGGAACCAGGUGAGUCCAUCAGGGCUGCUAGCUUCCCAUACGUGAGUUUCUUCAAAUCGAUCAGCUAGCUUGCUAGCUUGCUAGUUGUGCUACGUUGGUGUAGUACAUCUCAACAUAAAGGAACUUCGUCGAGUUCGUCAGCGUUGCUUUGCUUCGUCAUCGAUUGUCAUCAGUCGUCGCGUGUCGUCGGAAAGUACUCGACGACACGGUUUGGGCCAACAGAUGGCACACCGACCGCGUCUGCUUCAGGAAGCUACAGGCUGCAACCUUGUUGUGUGGGAGCAAAGGCAAGCGGUGCAUGGAGCUAUCCAUGGCGCAUCGGAGAGUUGUGGUGGUGAUGCAGGGCGGUGCGCAUGGCAGCAGUGGGCUCCCAGAGGCUGGAGGCUCACCAAGCGAGCAGUAAUGGUCAUAUCAAGGGUGCGACAGUGGGAUCAAAGCGAGGAUACAAGGUUGAUUGCGAUGAGUGAUGUAAUCGCGGUGGUGGAGGAGGCGAGUGUCGAGCACGCUUGACGUCUCCAGCGAUGGGAUUGAGGAAGCUUAACAUAGAGGACGCGUUGGUGCGAUUGCGACACCGGAGGAUGGACGGGACGACGACUCUGCCAUCUCUUGCUUCUCCAGGGGUGUCGCCGGGAGCAGGUGAGCGGCACAUGUGUGUGGCCAACGAGGUCCGAGGGCGGGGGCCAGUUUGCCGAAAGCGUCGGUCAUCGGAUGUCAUGGGCAGCGAGGUCUGGAGGCGCGUGGGUGGGGGCAUUCGUCGAGGAGUGUGAGGCUAGUGGAGUUCAGGGUGCUCCUCGAUGAAUGUCGUCUGAACUUCUCAUUAAAAUAAGGCUGGCCAUAGUGGAAGUAACUAAAGUAGUAUCAUAUACUUGGGACUAGCAAACAUGCCGAUGUGGCAGACAAUUAAAGAAGAGAGAGAGGGUUAGAGUAACAUNNNNNNNNNNNNNNNNNNNNNNNNNNNNNNNNNNNNNNNNNNNNNNNNNNNNNNNNNNNNNNNNNNNNNNNNNNNNNNNNNNNNNNNNNNNNNNNNNNNNAUACCUUGGUUCUCAAACUGAGGGAAAUACUUACCACCGCUGCGCUACAUCACCCUUUCCGCUUCGAGGGAACACCAACGCAAGGCUCCAAGGCCACGGGGGGAAUCCUUUGCAUAUUUGCCUAGGAAGUCCCUCAAGGCGUAGCCGUAGCAGAAGGAUUCCUGGUGCCGUCAACACACCUAUUUCUGGCGCCGUUGGAAGGUCUUUUGUUGCAGUAGCAGAAGUAUUUCUGGCGCCGUUGCCGGGGAAGGAGAGAUCUAUCCAAGUAGGUCUCACAAACUCAUCUCCUGCAUUUACUUUUUUUCCAGUUGCCUCUCGUUUUCCUCUCCCCCACUUCACAUUUCCAUUUUCAUUUGCCUUUCUCCUUUGUCGUUUUCUUUUACCUUUUGCCUUUUUCGUUCGCCCUUUUCUCUCGCUUGCUUUCUGUUCGCUUGUGUGCCAUGUGCCUUCAAUAUGCUUGCAUCUUCGCUUGCUGAAAAUCUAGUGAUAUGGAUCCUCAUCCACUAGCUAAUCGCUUCGAGGGUACAAAGAGUGAUCCAGGAUUGAAUCACUAAACAGCGGUCAAAGUUAUCCUUAGUAACUAGUGGACUAAGGAUUUUUUUCUCGAUUAAGGAGGUGACUAAAGAGUUCGUCGUAAAGGCAUACGUCGAUGCAAGAUUUGACACUAAUCCGAAUAACUCUGAGUAGUAAACCGGAUUCGUAUAGUGGAGCAGUCAUUUGGAAUAGUUCCAAAUGGCACGUAGUAGAAGCAUCUAUAGGAUGACAUAGAGAUUUGUAAAGCACACACGGAUCUGAAAGGUUCAGAUCCGUUGACUAAAAACCUCUCUCACAAGAAAGACAUGAUCGAGCCCCACAAUUGUAUGGGUGUUAGAUUCACUACAAUCACACACUGAUGUGAACUAGAUUAUUGACUCUAGUGCAAGUGGGAGACUGUUCGAAAUAUGCCGUAGAGGCAAUAGUAAAUUGGUUAUUAUUAUAUUUCCUUGUUCAUGAUAAUCCUUUAUUAUCCAUGCUAGAAUUGUAUUGAUUGGAAACUCAAAUACAUGUGUGGAUACGUAGACAACACAUUGUCCCUAGUGAGCCUCUAGUUGACUAGCUCGUUGAUCAAAGAUGGUCAAGGUUUCCUGGCCAUAGGAAAGUGUUGUCACUUGCUAAUGAUAUUGCAUCAUUAGGAGAAUGAUGUGAUGGACAAGACCCAAACUAUAAACGUAGUGUAUGAUCGUGUCAGUUUGUAGCUACUGUUUUCUGCAUGUCAAUGUAUUUGUUCCUAUGACCAUGAGAUCAUGCAACUCCCGGACACCGGAGGAAUACCUUGUGGGUUAUCAAACGUUGCAACAUAACUGGGUGACUAUAAAGGUGCUCUACACGUAUCUCCAAAUGUGCCUGUUGGGUUGGCAUGGAUCAAGACUGGGAUUUGUCACUUCGUGUGCGGAGGGGUAUCUCGGGGCCCACUCGGUAAUACAACAUCACAACAAGCCUUGCAAGCAAUGUGAAUAAGGAGUUAGUUACGGGAUAUUGUAUUACAGAACGUGUAAAGAGACUUGUCGGUAAAGAGGUUGAACUAGGUAUGGAGAUACCGACAAUCAAAUCCCGGGCAAGUAACAUACCGAAGGACAAAGGGAACAACAUACGGGAUUAACUGAAUCAUUGACAUAAAGGUUCAACUGAUAGAGAUCUUCAUAGAAUAUGUGGGAGCCAAUAUGGACAUCCAGGUCCCGCUAUUGGUUAUUGACCAGAGAGUGUCUCAGGUCAUGUCUGCAUAGUUCUCGAACCCGCACGGUCUGAACACUUAAGGUUCGGUGAUGUUUCGGUAUAGUUGAGUUAUGUGUGUUGGUGACUGAAGUUUUGUUCGGAAUCCCGUAUGAGAUCCCGGACGUCACGAGGAGUUCCAGAAUGGUCGGGAAACAAAGAUUGAUAUAUAGGAAGUUGGUAUUUGGAUUCCGGAAGAUUUUCGGGCAUUACCGACACUGUACCGGGAGUGACGAAUGGGUUCCGGGGGCCCACUGGGUGGGCCCACCACGCCCCAAGGGGUCCACGUGGGUUUAUUGGAUGCGCAAUAAGGCAUAAUGGGCUGACAAAGUCAUCCAAGGAAAUCCCAUGAGGAAAAAGUGGAAAAUCCAAAAGUGGUUGAGAAUUAAGGAAGGAGUCCUAAUCCAAGUGGGAUUGGAGGAGGACUCCUCCCUCCUCAACUUCGGCCGACCCAAGGGCUCCUCCCUUGUGGCGCAAGGGCUGCCCCUCCCUCCUCCUAUAUAUACUAGAGAUUUAGGGCUGUUUGAGACACAACUUUGCCACGUGUAACCCUAAACCUCUACUUUGUAGUUCUUCCUCUAGAUCGGUUUUCUGCGGAGCUCGGGCGGAACCCUACAGGAAUAGAUCACCACCACCACUGGAGCGAUGUUGUGCUACCGGGGAACUCAUCUACAUCCCCGUCUCUCUUGCUGGAUCAAGAAGGUGGAGAUCGUCAUCGAGUUGUACGUGUGCGGAACGCGGAGGUGCCGUCCGUUCGGCACUUGAUCGGGACGGAUCACGAGACGGUUCGUGGGACGGUUCAUGAGAUGGAUCGUGAAGACGUACCACUACAUCGACCGCGUUUAUUAAUGCUUCCACUUUGCGAUCUACAAGGGUAUGUGGAUCUGAUCUUCCUCUCGUAGAUGAUCAUCACCAUGAUAGGUCUUCGUGUGCGUAGGAAAUUUUUUGUUUCCCAUGCUACGUUCCUCAACACCGUCUACGGACGAUAACAGACGAUAAAAGAACGACGUCCAUCCUUGCUAUCCCGGGCUGUCGGACUGGACCCCAUCCUAGAUCGAUGAAGAGGAAGAAGAAGAAACUCCAAAUAGCACAAUCAGCGCGCUCACGUCAAAGUAACUCUUUACAUGUACCUGGAACUGGUGUUGUAGUAAUCUGCGUAGAUCAAGACUAGCAAAGCUUAAUGGGUGGGGUAUGGUUAAGUGGUGAGGCUGCACCAAGCGACUAAGCAUUUAUUUGGUGGCUAACUUACGAGUACAAGAAUAAAAGAAGGGGAUGAUCUACGCAUCUCAGACGUGAACACUGUUAAUCAAAUGAAUGAUCCUGAAUACCUACUUACGUCAGACAUAACCCCACCGUGUCCUUGAUCGGAGAAGGAGCUCACGAAAGAGACAGUCACGGUUCUGCACUCGGUUGGCAAGUUUUAAUUAAGUUAACUCCAAGUUAUCUAGAACCGGAUGUUAAACAAAGUUUUCACAUUGCCACAUAACCACGGGCAUGGCUUUUCGAAAGAUUUAACCCUGCACGGGUUCUCCAACUAGUCCAUCAGAAACUACCACACGCAACGAUGGAAUGACCUCGGCCAGGGAAACAUGUGAUCUCCUCGGGUUCCUAUUGGAAAACCUCAACCUCGAGAUAACCCAAAGCAUCCUCGGAAUCCCUCGCACAAGACGCUCUAGAAAGGUAAAACAAGUCCAGCAAGGCCGCCCGAUGUGUCGACAUCCCGAUAGGAUCCGCGUAUCUCAUUCUCAGGACACGACAGAUGAGCUAUGGUUACCACACCAAACGGCGAGUUGCCCCGGGUAGCGUUAAUAAGCUGCUCUGUUUUGGACCGGCACCAUCAACCCUGGCCCUCCCUGUAUUAUGUUGAAUUAAUCCUCGGGUUCAUGACGCCCUAUGUUUUUCAGUAUUAACAGAAUUAUUAUGUUGGGAAAAUAUAGUACCAAUGUUGGGCCUUGCCAGACGAGCUUUAUCCCAAAACGAGAAUCUAGGGGGUCCCCAUAACAACCCCAAGCAUGUUAGGAGUGCUCAUUUAUGGAACAUAACACCGGUAGCCAAAACUAAGGCGGCAAAGGUGGAAUAAAACACCAGGCUAGAAAGGCCGAGCCUUCCACCUUUUACCAAGUAUAUAGGUGUAUUAACUUAAAUAACAAUUAAUAUGGUGAUAUAACAAGGAACCCAUGUUUUCACAUGGAAGCAACUGCACCUGCAACUAGCAACUCUAACGCAUGGUUAAGCAAGCAGUAACAUAGCCAAACAGUGGUUUGCUAGGUUGUGAACAGGUUGAAGGUUUUCAUGGCAAUGUUGGGAGGCAUGUUAAACAGGUGGUAGGCAGCGAGACAUAACAAUAGAAAUGAUACAACUAGCAUGGCAAUGAUAGUAAUGAUAUCUAGGGAAAUGAUCAUCUUGCAUGAGAUCCUGCAUGGAAGAAGAAUGACUGCGUGAAGCAGACGAACCGAAGUAGUCGAACGGAUCCUCACAUUCCGACACACUUGCGGAACUCUAUCGAGACAAAGCAAACCGGAAACAAGAAUCAACACACAAUAUUCACCAGGCACAUGCACGACAUGAUGCACAACACAUAUGAUGCAUGAUCAGUUUCAAAUAUGCAAGGCAUGGCAUGACAAUCACAACAGUCAAACGCUACACAUUAAGUGAAGCUCAAUAUGCAAUGAGUUGCAUAUUGAUGAAACUGCACAUUUAAUUAUUUAGUGCGCUCCCGUUUAUUUACAUGACAAUAUUAAAUGUUGUUAACAUGGCAAGGGGUGAAGCUCAAAUUAAUCUACCUAUGUAUGCAUUUUAAAUGAGGCCGAAAAUGACAUAUAGCAUCUCCGAAAUGCCCCCGCGCGUUAAAUUUUAAUUCUGUCCAGAUUUGUCCUAAUCACAUUUUAUGUUUGUUGAACGGAAAAACCAAGUGGUUCAUGUGAUUCUACUCAUCGUUCUAGUCCAUUUACAUAUAUGGUUCACCUCCAACGGAGCUACGGUUAAUUAACUACAACCUAAACCGUUUCUAUCGUGUCGACACGCAAACCGAUGCAAACAACACACAUAACAACUCUAAAUAUACAUGAGAGUUGGAAAAUAUUAAUCUCCGUGAAAUUAUAGCUAAGUUACAUAUCUAACUUGUCGCGAUCCGACGCACGGAAUAGAAAUUACGGGGUUUGAAAAUAUGCUCUGUUCCAAAAUUAAAUAAAUUCGCAAAACUACAAAAACACUAACGGGCCGAAACUAGAUCUGGCCCAAAACAGGACAUGGGCGCAAUACAGUUAUACUACGCACAUGCGCAAAAUAGAGGGCUCAAUGGAGGCUCACCUUCGGGCCUUCAGGCCGGCUGGAGGAGAGGCUGAGGUGGGCCGAGGGACGCAGCCAGGCACUGGGCCGCUUGGCGGCGCGCGAGGCCUGCGGAUCUAGGCCCCGGAGACAGCGCGGGGCUGGGCCUGGUUGCACCGCUAGGCAUGGCCCAAGCCAGCACUCGAGCGGCGGUCAACAGGGCUCGACCAGCUCAUCUCCUACCUUCGGCAAAGGAUGAACUUGGCUGAGUUGGUGGGCACCUCCGGCGGGCAGCGACGAGGACCGGCGGGGAUGGCCAGAAUGGGCGAAGAUUCGUCGGAUCUGGGCGAGGGGGUGCCAUCCCCGACGACGGACAGGGCCAUCGGCGAGUUCCGAGCAGCAGUGGGGCAUGAUGCGGGUAGGCAGCGGCUCGGCGGGGCCUCAGCCGGCGGCGGCGCUCCGGGAUAGCUCCGGUGGCUGGCGGGCAUCUAGGAGGAGGCACGUGGAACGGAUCGGUGGCCCACAGCGGCUGGCGCAAGGAGUUGUGGGAGGCCUCGGAUACUGCUGCUGGCUUGGGGNGUGGGAGUGGCAGCUGGUUGUUGGGGGGCACGAAAAACGAGGCUAGAGUUAGGGUUUGGUCAGUUAGGAAGGGUUAGCCUUCCUUUUAUAGCCGGGGUAGCUAGGGUUUGCUAUUUGGGGUGUUUUCGGACCCUCCGAUCUCGAUUGGACGGCUCUGGUUUUGCCCUAGGGUUAGGUGGUUGUGUUAGAGGGGUUAGGUGGGGAAGAGAGGGAAAAAUUGUGUGGUCGUGACUGAGUUUUAUAAACCAAAAACCUCCGAUGAUAAACCGAAGACGGUGUCGCUAUGAUCGACCGUUCGGCUAUCAGACAGACUCUGAUUGCGACGAAAUUUGGCAGGCGGUCUACCUACACUAUAUUAAGACGGCACGCCAAGUUAACCCAAUCCGAGAAUAUUUUAUAUGCACUUUUCAAAAAUAAUAUUUUUAACGGUGUCGCGGGCGCGUGCGUGUGUGGUUGGUCUCAAAACGGUCUAUGACGAAAACAGAGAGAACCAGCAACUACUAACAAAUGCAGGUUUUGAAAACUGGCGCAACACAGUGUCGAUGCAAUGAAGAUGAUGCGCCUGAUGCAAUGAUGAAUGCGACAGACAAACGAACCACACGACGAGAACGGAAUUAAAAAAAGGGAAUCUUGUGGAGCAUCGGUCUCGGGUUGUCAGAAAAGCACUGCCCCCUACCCUAAUAUACCCCCCUAGCCCUGGCGGCAUGGUAGUACCAUGGUCAUCGCGGUAGUACUGCUUGGCCAGCGGUAGUAAAUUUUUACUACCUCUCGCUGGGCAGUAGUACCGCUCUUCGAGCGGCAGUAAAAUUUUACUAUCGUGCCUGGAGCGGUAGUACUAUGCCCUCUUCAAAAAAUACACUUUGAACUUUGCCAGAAUAAGAGAAAAGGUGUAGGAAAGCCCAAGAUAAGAUAAAAUAAUGAAACAAGCACAAAACAUGAACAUAGAACUGAAUCUUCUGACGAAGAGAGGGCGGUGGCCGGAGCCACCAAUGUUUGAGACAAAUGCUAUGACACCACAAAGAAUUAUCCUUGGGUUCAUGACCAAAGCUCGUCUUUGAAGCACAAGUGCAAUCAACAAUGGCUAAGGUGAAAGACGUGAUCAAUUUAUGCAUAAUGGGGGGAGGGAAAGUUCAUUGAGAGAACAACACUCCCCCUCCUUGCUUGAUAUGAUCUCGAAUGAAAUGAUGACGAAUAUCAAUAUGCUUGGUCUUGCUAUAUUGCACCGGAUUGAGAGAUAUCUUGAUGGCACUUUCAUUGUCACAUAUAAAAGGCACUUUGUCACAAUUGACAACCUAAUCCUUUAAAGUUUGCCCCAUCCAUAAUUAUUUAGCACAACAACUUGCGGCAGCUACAUACUCGGCCUCGGUGGAAGAAAGUGACACACAGUUUUGCUUCUUCGAAGACCAACUUACCGAAGAGUGACCAAGGAAUUGGCAUCCUCCAGAAGUUGACUUCCUUCCCACACGGUCUCCAGCCCAAUCCGAGUCAGAGUAACCUACUAGACUAAAGCUUGCUCCUUUGGGGUACCAUAAAGCCAAAGUUUGGGGUAUGAGCCAAAUAUACAAAGACUCGUUUGACUACCCCAUAGUGGAUUUCCUUUGGUGCGGAUUGAAACCGUGCACAAAUUCCCACACUCAACAUGAUAUCUGGUCUAGAUGCACAAAGAUAAAGCAAGGAUCCAAUCGUGGAGCGAUAUACAUUUUGAUCCACUGCUUUACCAUUGGGAUCAUUGUCAAGCUUGCAUUUGGUUGGCAUGGUAAAUUUGGCAAGCUUGACGUCCUCGAGCUUGAACCUUUUGAGCAUGUCUUGAGUGUAUUUGGCUUGUUUGAUGAAUGUUCCUUCUCUUCCCUGUUUGAUCUCAAACCCAAGAAAGAACUUCAACUCUCCCAUCAUAGACAUCUCAAACUUCUCGGUCAUUAGUGUAGCAAACUCUUCAUUGAAAGAUGCGUUAGGAGAACCAAUAAUAAUAUCAUCAACAUAUAGUUGGCAUAUGAACAAAUCCCCUUUUACCUUUUUGGUAAAAAGGGUGGGAUCAAUUUUCCCAAUUUCAAACCCACGAUCUUGCAACAACUCGGUAAGGUACUCAUACCACGCACGUGGGGCUUGUUUAAGGCUGCAGAGCGCCUCCUUGAAUUUGUAUACAUGAGUGGGGAACUUGGGAUCCUCGAAUCCUGGGGGUAGUUUGACAUAUACCUGCUCAUUUAAGGGACCAUUAAGAAAAACACUCUUCACAUCCAUUUGUUGCAACUUAAAAUCAUGAUGAGAAGCAAAUGCAAGCAACACGCGAAUAUAUUCAAGACGAGCAACAGGGGCAAAGGUUUCACCAUAGUCGAUACUCUCGACUUGGGAGUAUCCUUGAGCCAUCAAUCUUGCCUUGUUUCGAAUGACAACACCAUUUGCAUCCUUCUUGUUCUUAAAUAUCCAUUUGGUUCCAAUGACAUUAUGUUCCUCCGUUGUCCUUGGCACUAAUUCAAAAACUUGAUUGUGCUCGAAGUUGUUAAGUCCAUCAUGCAUGGCUUCAAGCCAAUCCUCAGCAUCGAGCGCAUCAUGUACCUUUUGGGGUUCAACACACGAAACAAAGGCAUGAUGCAAACAAAAGUUUGACAAUUGUUGACGAGUAGUUACCCCCUUAUUGAAGCUUCCAAGCACAUUCUUGAAGAUAUGUUGUCGAACCCAGAGCCUGUUAGCUAUCUUGGCGGCGCAGCGCUUCAAUACUUCCUUACUGGGUAAUUUAGGAGCGUCUUCUUGAACAUCUUGAGCACUGUCUUGAACUUGCUCACUAGUUUUCCCUUGAUACUGUGGUUGCACUUGAUCUUGAGCAAACUCCGAGUCUUGAGCAUGAACUUCGACAUCAUUUGGUGCAACACCAUCUUCAUGAGGUUAAUCUUGUCCUUGAUCUUCUUCAUCGGGUUCAGGGCCUUCACUUUGUUCUCCGGAAGCGUGUGGGUCUAGAGAGGGUGAUGGCUCCACUUGAGUAGAGCAUUGUCCUUCUCCUUCGGCCACAAGGGGUUCCUCAAUGUGGAGUAUUUGACCAAUCCCCAUUCUUCUUAUGGCUUGAGGAGGAAUUUCAUCACCUACAUCACAAAGACCACUUUUCUCCACUUGGCAGCCAUUAUUUUCAUCAAACUCUCUGUUACACGUCUCCUCAGUGAGUCCGGUGGACUUGUUGAGAACACGGUAAGCAUGAGAGUUUUUAGCAUAACCAACAAAUAUGCCCUCAUGACCUCUAGCUUCGAAUUUAGGCAAACGAACACCUUUCUUGAGUAUGAAACACUUACAACCGAACACCCGGAAAUACUUGAGGUUGGGCUUAUUCCCGGUAAGAAUCUCAUAUGGAGUCUAGUUCAACCCCUUGCGGGGGUAGAGCCGAUUGGAUGCAUAACAUGCGGUGUUAAUUGCUUCGGCCCAAAAGUUGUACGGAGAUUUGAAUUCCGUCAUCCUGGUUCUUGCCGCGUCCAUCAAUGUUCGGUUCUUCAUUUCCGCCACACCGUUUUAUUGAGGGGUAUAGGGUGCUAAAUAUUGGUGCUUGAUCCCCACGUCACUAAGGAACUCAUUCAAGGUGUAUUUAUUGAACUCGAUGUCGUUGUCACUUCUAAUCAUCAAUAUCUUUGCUUCAUGUUGACGUUGAGCUUCAUUAGCAAAGUCAAUGACAGUUUGUUGAGUAUAACUCUUCCUCUUGAAGAAGUAUACCCAAGUGUAUCUUGAGUAGUCAUCCACAAUCACCAAGAAAUAAUAUCUUCCCCCAAGACUAUCAAAAGAUGAAGGACCAAAGAGAUCCAUAUGAAGGAGCUCCAAGGGCCUUUUCGAGUAGAUGAUAGUUGUGGGACGGUGAGCCGUUUCAUGAAGCUUUCCUUCAAUACAAGCACUGCCAGCACGGUCUGUGGCAAAACUCACAUUUGUUAGUCCAAGAACAUGGUCCCCUUUGAGGAUACUUUGCAAAGAUUUCAUAUUUACAUGAGCUAGCCUGCGAUGCCAAAGCCAACCCACAUCAACUUUCGCCAUUAGACAAGUCAUGAUCUUAGUAGGUUGCUCCGAAAAGUUCACCACAUAGAGACCGUUCUUGACACGUCCAACAAAGGCUACUUUAAGAGUCUUGCUCCACAAAAGGGCCAUGGUAUCAAGAUUAAAGAAUGUGGCAAAGCCCAUAAUUGCAAGAUGACGAACGAAAAGCAAAUUGUAUGCAAGGGACUCAACAAGCAUGACCUUCUCUAUAGGUAAAUCUUCACAGAUGACCACCUUGCCAAAUACCAUUACCUUAGAUGUUGAGGCAUCAGCAAAUUGGACAUGGGUGGGCACAAAUGGAAUGUGACGCACAUCCACCACCAAGUCCUUGCUCCCGGUCAUAUGAUUUGUGGCUCCACUGUCGAGCAACCAUGACACUCCACCGGAAGCAAAUUCCUACAAGAGAUCAAUGCUUGGAUUUAGGUACCCAUUCUUGAAUGGGUCCUUUGAUGUUAGAAACAAGGUUCCUAGGAACCCAAAUAACCCAUUCAAUGUACUCAUAAUGAGAACCAACAAAUUUAGCAUAAACAUGCCCAUCACUAGCACGACAUAAAACAUAAUAGGGGUUAAAGUCACCCGCUUUGUUGGUACAGGUGGUUUUGCUCUUCUUGGCAUUAUCACCCCUUCCUUGUUCUUCAUCUUCUUAUGAGUACUCUCACCCUCUUUGACAAAAAUGUCCUUGAGAGGGGAAGAUAGGUUGGUCUUGUUCUUCUUUUUCUUCUUAGACGUGCAAACCCAAGUCCCUUCUUUCCUACAACUUCCUUUUGAUUACUCAAAAGGUCAUUUAGGUUCUUCUCACCUUGGAUGCAUCUCACAAGGCCCUUUUCGAGUUGUUCUUUAACCUUAGCAUUUCCUCCACAAGAUGCACAUGCUCACAACAAGGGUUAGUAGCACAAGCAUUAUCAAUUAGAACAAAAGGAGGACAAGUAGAAAUCUCCUUGGUUAGUUUUACUUGGAGUUGAUCAUGAGACUCCUUAAGAGAGGAAUGAACACCUUUCAAGACCUUGUGGGCCUUGUCAAGUGUGUCAAAUUCUUCCUUGAGUCUAUCAUGGCCAAUCCCAAGUGUAACUUUCUCAUAUUUAAGCACACGGGUAAGAACAAGAGCAUGAUCAAGAUAUUUUUGCAAUUUAGCAUGAUCAACAUUGUGUGACUCCUCAAGAGCCAAACGAAGAGGGCGCUCUUAUUUUAAAGCAAUGGAUAGUUCUGCUAUCUCAUCGGCGUAAUCACGACUAUGUCCCACCAACUUGGAGAUAGUCUCCUCAUGAGACUCGAUGAGAUCAUUGGCCUCACCAAGUUGUUCCAAAAGAGCAAUAAAGUGUUUUUUGAUCUCACCUUUGAUCUUACACAUGAAUUUGUCAAACUCAUUUUCAUCAAGCUCCACUACUUCACUAUCAUCAACACAGUUUAACAAUGAAGGAGAGGUAGUGAUAGUGGUCUUGAUGUUGGGGGUUACCUUAUUUGUACCUUUGGCCACGAGGCACUUGGCGAUGCGGAUCUCGUUGGUGGCAUCGAAGAGAGACAUCUUGGGGGAGGAAGUGGCAAUGGCCACGGUAGUCGUUGCCAUCCCCUCAUGGCAUGUAUCAUCAUUUUCAUCAUCGGAGGUGUACUCUUCAUGAGCCACCAAACCCCUUGGANNNNNNNNNNNNNNNNNNNNNNNNNNNNNNNNNNNNNNNNNNNNNNNNNNNNNNNNNNNNNNNNNNNNNNNNNNNNNNNNNNNNNNNNNNNNNNNNNNNNUUAGUAGGCCGUGCGCUUUGUCGUCUGCCAACAGACGAUGAAUAAUGUUUGCCGUGUGCUGGCAGUCGGCAAAAAAGCAAGUCGGAUGACCUAACCAGGUCUAGGGCCCAAUGGGCACAGUUGGGUCCUUUGCCAUCUACUUUUGGGCUUUUUGCUGUCCGCUAGCAGAUGGCAAAGAAAGGCAUGACGUCAAAUACGUUAUUUGCCAUUAGUCCCUUCUUUGUCGUCUGCUUUUUGUAAGCUGAUGGCAAAAACCGUCUUUGUCGUCCGCUAGCACACAACAAAGAAGUGAUAGACGGAAAAUUUCCUGAUUCUAGUAAUGACUCGAAAAUUCCGAGAUGAAAUCAAUAGGCAAUAGAAGGUUGGUAUGUGCUCUUCGAUGGGACUGAGUUGUUAGGGUUUAAGUAGUCGCUCGAUCAAGUGUAACUCGGAGAAUCUAGUGUUUCUCGUGGGUCUGAUUUGAAUUUUGGAUUUUGGACAGGUAAGAAUGUAAGGGUGAAUGUAAGGGUGUGGCUGNNNNNNNNNNNNNNNNNNNNNNNNNNNNNNNNNNNNNNNNNNNNNNNNNNNNNNNNNNNNNNNNNNNNNNNNNNNNNNNNNNNNNNNNNNNNNNNNNNNNAUAUAAGCCACCCCCCUCCACAUAGCUAGGGACAUUUUCUUCUUCUCCCCCAGCGGGCUCAUUCCUUCCCUAGAGCUCUAGCUCUCUCUCUAUACCUUGUAACUCAUGUCCAUGACAGAUAAAACAAAGUCUCGCCAGAGCACGAGACGUAGGGUUGUUAUCUCCACUGUGAGAGGCCUGAACUCGCAAAAACCACUGUGUCACCCAUGUGCAUCUUGAUAGAUCAUGCUUCGCUAUCCUACCCUCUUUCUAUUGUCGGAAUCGUUACCACAACAGUUAGGAAAACCAAAAAAGUCAUGAGGUUCUCUUCGGCUCAUGUUGGGGUUCACUUCCUCAUUUGAUGUGGUUCCGUCGCGGUCCACUCUUGUUCAUAAAAAGUUAGAAUAAAUGACAAAACAGAAAUAAUGAAGUUCGCUUGACUGUGUGAUGUAGUGCGCCUUUCCGUCAAAAAGGAGUGCGCUCUUCUAUCCGAUGUGAUUCACGCGUCGGUUUUUUACCGUGAAAAACAGAGUGUCCGUGUUUCGGUAAAACCAAAACUGCUCUUAAAUCGUAAGGAAUAAGNNNNNNNNNNNNNNNNNNNNNNNNNNNNNNNNNNNNNNNNNNNNNNNNNNNNNNNNNNNNNNNNNNNNNNNNNNNNNNNNNNNNNNNNNNNNNNNNNNNNUGCCAGAGCCGCGCGUGGCGACAAUUUAGCGGCCGGCACCAGAGGCCGUGCAAGGCGACGAUGAAGCGGACGCCGCCGGCGGCGAGAAAUCGAUGUGCCACUUGUGGUUGAAGAAAAAUAACCAUAUGCAUCAUGGCUCAAUAGACGCUAUGCGCCACGGUGGGCGCCAACUGUCGUGGUAACGAUUCCGACAAUAGAAAGAGGGUAGGAUAACGGAGCAUGAUCUAUCAAGAUGCACAUGGGUGACACGGUGGUUUUAGCGAGUUCAGGCCUCUCACAGUGGAGAUAACAACCCUACGUCUCGUGCUCCGGAGAGGCUUUGUUUUAUCUGUCAUGGACAUGAGUUACAACGGAUAGAGAGAGAGCUAGAGCUCCAGGGAAGGAAUGAGCCCGCUGGGGGAGAAGAAGAAGAUGUCCCUAGCUAUGUGGAGGGGGGUGGCUUAUAUAGAGUGCGCCACCUCCUCACCUCUUAUGUUACAAGAUGGGGCAUUGAUGCCAUAAUGUCAGCCCACUACAGAUGUCUUGCCGACUGUUGGUAUCCGCAUGACCGAGUGAGUCAUACGGCCGAGUGGUUGACUGUCAUCCGAGUGGAUGGAAUGUNNNNNNNNNNNNNNNNNNNNNNNNNNNNNNNNNNNNNNNNNNNNNNNNNNNNNNNNNNNNNNNNNNNNNNNNNNNNNNNNNNNNNNNNNNNNNNNNNNNNUCUCAUCUAUCUUCUUGCACUCGUUGUGUGUGUCUAUUAAUUCUGGGGGAGCAACGAUCCUAUUUUGUGCACCUAUGUCAAAUACAAAAAUCUCAUAUUAGUGCACAAAUCAUGGGGAGCUUCUCUAGUUUUUGAUAAAGCACUAUGUUGCCUCUAUCAUAAUAUCUUUUAUUCAUGUGGUUCGAAGGACCAUAUGAUUGUGUGUUCCAUCUGGAAUUCUUUGAUUGCUUGCCUCCAUCUUUGUAUGUCUUUGUGGCAUACGAUCCUUUUAUUUGCAAUCUUUGGGUCCUCAAUAUAGUUUGUUUUCCUCCAACUACUUAUCAUUGUAUUUGUGUAUUUUUCUGCACUCAUUUGCUGAGAAGUACACACUUUUUGGAGGACCACCUACUAUUUUGGCUUUCUAAACUUGUCGUCCAUUUUGGCAAUCGAUGCCAAUGGGGGAGAAGUUUAGAGAGUUUACUUUGGAUAUGUUUAGAGGGUUUUGCUUUUAUUGCGUAAGCAUUUACAUCUUGCACACAUGCAUUAUUACCUUGUAUGUGUGCGCUUGGUUAUGCUUAUUUCUUUACAUAAACUCUCUUGAAGUGGUUGUCUUCAAUUACCAAANNNNNNNNNNNNNNNNNNNNNNNNNNNNNNNNNNNNNNNNNNNNNNNNNNNNNNNNNNNNNNNNNNNNNNNNNNNNNNNNNNNNNNNNNNNNNNNNNNNNUGGGAAAGGUCACCACAUGGUAAGAACCCAAAACCAAGCACUUCUCCCAUUGCAAGAAUCAUAGAUCUAGUUGGCCAAACAAAACCCAAGACUCGGAGAGACUUACGAGGAUAUCAAAUCACGCAUAUAAGGAAUCAGCAAAGACUAAAAAAUAUAUCAUAGAUAAUCUGAUCACAAAUCCACAAUUCAUUGGGUCUCGACAAACACACCGCCAAAGAAGAUUACAUCGGAUAGAUCUCCAUGAAGAUCAUGGAGAACUUUGUAUUGAAGAUGCAAGAGAGAGAAGAAGCCAUCUAGCUACUAACUACGGACCCGUAGGUCUGAAGUGAACUACUCACGAGCCAUUGGAGGGGCGAUGAUGAUGAUGAAGAAGCCCUCCAACUCCAAAGUCCCCUCCGGCAGGGCACCGGGAAGGGUCUCCAGAUGAGAUCUCGCGGAAACGGAAGCUUGCGGCGUCGGAAAAGUAUUUUCGUGGAUCCCCCGAUUUUUUGUUGUAUUUUAGGGAAUAUAUAGGCCAAGGAUCUAGGUCAGGGGGUGGCCAGGGAGGCCACAAGCCCUGCCACCGCCGCCUCCCCCUGGUGGCGUAGUGGGGGCUUGUGGGCUCCCAGGAGUCGUCCUGGCUUNNNNNNNNNNNNNNNNNNNNNNNNNNNNNNNNNNNNNNNNNNNNNNNNNNNNNNNNNNNNNNNNNNNNNNNNNNNNNNNNNNNNNNNNNNNNNNNNNNNNGAAUUUCCCUUGUAGUCCUUAAACUAAUAAUGAGGUGCCUUUGGGUAGGACGUAUUGGUCAGACCUAUGACCCUACCCUAGGGCUAUAUCCCCGUCAUUAGCCCCCGAAUGGAUCAGGGUCCGAGUGGUGAAGGUGUCGAUGUAAAUUUUGUAGCAGCAGACCAAACUUGAAUGUGCUUCAGGGCCUUGCAAAAUUAUGCGUUGAUUGAAGCCUUCAUCAUUCGCCCUGAUCGAUUCCGCUGAGUAGUAUGUCCGAGUGAACUUAAGAACUGAAGUAGAUCCGAGUGACCAACAGGAUCUUGAGACUUUGACUGACUGCUGGUAGUCGGUUCGAAUCUGUUGAAUCUGUUGAACUUGGAUGUUGUUGGUGGACCUGACCAAGCAGAAUGUUUCUUUUUUGUAUUUCUCUUCCUGUGGGGGCACGCUUAGUGCACCCACUGGGUGUAGUCCCCGAGCCUCUGUCGGACUAGAUGAGUCUGGCAGAGGGUUUAAGACUUCCAGCGCUUGUCGUGUUGAAUGUUUGUUGAAUCUGCAUUAUAUGAUUUCUAGAUCAAAGUCAAGUCUCCGAGUGUAUUUUUUAACUUAGACGAUACGGGGUCGCAGCUAAGUUCCCGAGUGUGGAGCGUGUCUGUACUCGGAGUAGUUUUUACUUAGGUGAUACAGGGUCGCAGUGAAGCCCCCGAGUGUGGAGCUUGUCCGCAGUAAGAGUUGUUUUUAACUUAGGCGAUACGGAGUCGCAACUAAGCNNNNNNNNNNNNNNNNNNNNNNNNNNNNNNNNNNNNNNNNNNNNNNNNNNNNNNNNNNNNNNNNNNNNNNNNNNNNNNNNNNNNNNNNNNNNNNNNNNNNGUUCCUUUGACGUUAGUUGUGCGGAGUGAUGAUCAGCGAAUAAAAGUAUACACUCAAGUAUGGAUCAUCAGUACUCUUUUAUGAUUCUUGAGUCCUUAGGGAUCCCGCACUAUUAAGAGGGGAUCACAGGUUUUGCGAUGAACUUGCUCAAACUACAUCAUCACUUUCUGCUCAGACCACAUCUCCACUCCUUUGCUGUUAUCUGUAAACAGAACAAGUGCCUCGGACAUUCGGCUUCCUCCCGAUGUCCGAGGGCCGGACGACCGACUCCCUCGGAAAUCCGGAAUCCUAUACCAGAGAAAUCAGAGCCAUUUAACUCAGACUUCCGACUCCCUCCGGACGUCCGAGGCCCGGAUGUCCGGCCAAGUCCUGGAAAUCCGGAAGCCUGCACCAGUAGAAGUUGAGUUCUAUAUCUCGGUAAACCGACUCCCUCCGGACGCUCGAGGGCCGGACGUCCGGCCAGGUUCCGGAAAUCCGGAGGUCAACACCAGUAGAAUAUGUGCACUAUAUCUCGGAAAUCCGGCUUCCUCCGGAUGCCCGACCACCGGAUGUCCGGCACUCAUCGGAAAUCCAGAAGCCACCACCAGUAGAACUUGUGCUGUAUAACACGGACUUCCGGGCCACUCCGGACGUCCGUAUACUGAUGAAUUCAAAUAUGUUCAAGCACACCUACAGGCCUCGGACGACCGACCCCUGUCGGAUGUCCGGUCGCUAUUUAAUUCAAAAUAGUUUCAGUCGUAUCUACAGGCCCCGGAUGACCGACCCCUGUCGGACGUCCGACCCCUCGCGGUCGCCCGGACUUCCGACAACUGUCGGACGUCCGGACCCUGUGUGACUUAAAGUGUCCCCAACGGCUCUUUUUCUCUCCANNNNNNNNNNNNNNNNNNNNNNNNNNNNNNNNNNNNNNNNNNNNNNNNNNNNNNNNNNNNNNNNNNNNNNNNNNNNNNNNNNNNNNNNNNNNNNNNNNNNGAAAUGUGUUCUUAUGAGGAUAAGGCUGUGUUGGGCAACCCUCUCACGAAGUGGGAGGGGGGUAUUUAUAGAGUGGAGAGAAAAAGAGCCGUUGGGGACACUUUAAGUCACACAGGGUCCGGACGUCCGACAGUUGUCGGAAGCCCGGGCGACCGCGAGGAGUCGGACAUCCGACAGGGGUCGGUCGUCCGGGGCCUGUAGAUACGACUGAAACUAUUUUGAAUUAAACAGCGACCGGACGUCAGACAGGGGUCGGUCGUCCGAGGCCUGUAGGUCUGCCUGAACAUAUUUUAAUUCAUCAGUAUACGGACGUCCGGAGUGGCCCGGAAGUCCAUGUUAUACAACACAAGUUCUACUCGUGGUGGCUUCUGGAUUUCCGAUGAGUGUCGGACAUCCGGUGGUCGGGCAUCCGGAGGAAGCCGGAUUUCCGAGAUAUAGUGCACACAUUCUACUGGUGUUGACCUCCGGAUUUCCGGAGCCUGGCCGGACAUCCGGCCCUCGGGCGUCCGGAGGGAGUCGGAUUACCAAGAUAUAGAACUCAACUUCUACUGGUGCAGGCUUCCGGAUUUCCGGGACUUGGCCGGACAUCCGGGCCUCGGACGUCCGGAGGGAGCCGGAAGUCCGAGUUAAAUGGCUCUGAUUUCUCUGGUAUAGGAUUCCAGAUUUCCGAGGGAGUCGGUCGUCCGACCCUCGGAUGUCCGGAGGAAGCCGGAUGUACGAGGCACUGGUUCUAUUUACAUAUAACAGCAAAGCAGGGGAGAUCUGGUGUGAGCAGAAAGUGAUGAUGUAGUUUGAGCAAGUUCAUCGCAAAAGCUGUGAUCCCCUCUUAAUAGUGCGGGAUCCCUAAGGACUCAAGAAUCAUAAAAGAGUAUUGAUGAUCCAUACUUGAGUGUAUACUUUUAUUCGCUGAUCAUCACUCCGCACAACUAACGUCAAAGGAACNNNNNNNNNNNNNNNNNNNNNNNNNNNNNNNNNNNNNNNNNNNNNNNNNNNNNNNNNNNNNNNNNNNNNNNNNNNNNNNNNNNNNNNNNNNNNNNNNNNNAGUUAGAAUACAGUACCUUAUGCAAUAAUUAAAUAUGAAUAAAUUUACAACAAUAACUAAAGUUUAUGAUUUGCCUAUUAUACUAAUGGAUCUUGUCGGAGUCUUGGAUCCGCGUCCAAGAAACUCUCUCAAGAACUAGGGUUCGAACACUGGGGGGCUUUGCUUGGCAACCUACGACACGAUGACAACUACGACGAGGUCGACAACGAGCUCAUUCAAUCUCACCGCACACGCCGGGGAUGCACGAGCUACCCAGGUUUGGGCCACCGUGCAAUGUAAUAAACUACUCCUGCGUGUGUUGGAUUGCCUUGCAAUAGAGGGCUUGUGGCUCUAGGUAAACGAAAAAGUGAGGGGGGGGGGGAAUGGGUUGAUCCCCUUACAUGGAAGUGGCACUGCCCCUCUUGUAGUGCCUUGGUCCUCUUCCCUAAAAAUAUGAGAGGGAAAGGGUGGCCACAGGGCGGCAAUUCAAAGAAGGAAAAAAGCGCAGGCCUAUCCUGACUAAAGGUGGUCUUCGCGUGCUAAAGUAGCCAUUCUGACGCGCCGGUCAACUUGGUGACGACCUCCAUCCUAGCGAGCCGCGUCAGCAUGGUCGUCUUUCACCGGAAUGACAAGCUUUGGGAACCUCUUUUGGGGGAGGCUGCGAGUUGUGCACUUUAAUCACCAAAGAGAAAAUCCUUCCUAUUCGUGCCUGCUGGUACAACCUCUGUCGUCCUGGUCCGCUCGGGUGCGUCACCCACAUGAUGGGUAAAAUUUCUCCCUAAGUGGUUUUGGUGAUUGAUGACAAUGCGAGUGCGGACUAAUCAUGUGCAUUGAGCAUUUCAGAUAAUUCAUGACUAGGCACAAGACGAUUCGGUGCCCCUCGGAGUCUUUCAAAGACGGUUGCUUUCUACGUUUCUGUUUGGUGGAUUUGAGUAGUAGCAAAGCCAUACUAUUAAGAGGGGGUCCGCUUCGGAAAGGUUUGGGUGGAAUCUACGCGUACACAUUUCCAUUGCACCACUUUUCCCUUGCUUCAAUGGAGCUCCAACAUGUUUUCCCUAUAUGUGCAAAAGGGCCAGCGGUAGUACCGCAGGCACAACGGUAGUACCGCCCGCUCUCUAGGCGGUAGUAGUUUUUUACUACCGCUCCGUCGGACUUUUUACGCAUCCUUUUGCCUCAGCUUUGGUAGGCAUGGUAGUAAUUUAUUACUACCAUGGUUGGUGAACUACCAUGUGGUAGUACCGCUCCUAGCAGCGGUAGUACCGCUCCUGGCAGUGGUAGUACCUCUCCUAGCANNNNNNNNNNNNNNNNNNNNNNNNNNNNNNNNNNNNNNNNNNNNNNNNNNNNNNNNNNNNNNNNNNNNNNNNNNNNNNNNNNNNNNNNNNNNNNNNNNNNUAACUAUUGGUUUCUUGGAUUGAUGGCAUUGGUGCAGGUACUCCAGAGUCCAUCCAACACAAUCUUGAAUGGUUCUAGACUUGAUAAAGCCAUAGUGAUUCUUGUGAAUACACUUCAUGAUCUGCAACUGCAACCUGUUGGCUAUCAUUUUGGACAGAAACUUGAGGCCCAUCCCAGUGAGGGAUAUUGGUCUGUAGUCUCCCACUUGCUCAGGUGAUCUCUUCUUGGGAAUCAAAGUAAUAUAAGAUGAGUUCAUGUUCUCAAGUUGAGCAUUACCAGCAUGAAAGGCAGCAGCAAGUUGGUAAAACUCAGGAGAGAUAAUGGACCAACAUUUCUUGAAGAAAAGGCCAUUGAAACCAUCAGGUCCAGGAGCCUUGUCAAUUGGCAUUUCCUGAACAGUCUUGUCCAUUUCAGACUUAGAAAAAGGUUGUGUGAGAAUAUCAAGACCCUCCACCUUCUGAAGCAGAGAUUGUAAAUCAAAGGCCAUGUUAAUUCCAAGGGAAGUUCCCAUUCUAUCCUUAAAAGAUGCCCAAAAGCAUGCAACAAUUCGAUCAUGAUCAGAUAUGAUGGAUCCAUCAUUUAACUUGAGUGAUGCAAUGGAGUUCCUCCUAUAUCUCUCAGUUGCCAUAGCAUGAAAGAAUUUGGUGUUUUCCUCACCAACUUUAACAAAUCUGAUAGUGGCUCUCUUUUUCCAGUAUAAGCACUGAAGAGGCAAUAGGUGCUCCAAGUGUAAUUUAAUAAUACUCCUGAAGUUAGCUUCAGGUCUGAAAAGGGGCCUCAAUUUCUCAAGCUCAUCCAAACACAACACAACUUGAUUGCAUCUGGAGAUGAAAAUUUUCAGCUGUGAUAAGUUUGUCUGCCAUCUUUUCAGAGCCUGCCUGAGAUGUUUCAUCUUAUCCAUAAUGACAGCAGUAAUAUGGGCUUUCUUGGAAGGAAUGACCCAGGACUGUUGAACACACUCCAUGAAGCCCUCCAUUUCAACCCAGUAGUUUUCAAACCAAAAUAGGUUGCACUUAGGGAUGGAAGUGUUGACAGUGACCACACAUGGAACAUGAUCGGAAGCUGUCUUUGCAAGGGGGAGCACUUGUGUAAGAGGAUAUGAAGAGAUCCAGUUGGCUGAUGUGAAGAACUAGUCAAGUUGCUCAAGAAGAGGGGAAUCUUGCAUAUUGGACCAAGUGAAAGAUCUGCCCUUAAUAGGUAGUUCUAGUAAGCCCAGAUGACCAAUAAUUUCAUUGAAGAUGAACAUAUCAUUUACAUCAGCCCCAAGGAGGUUUCUGUUGUCAGGUGAUCNNNNNNNNNNNNNNNNNNNNNNNNNNNNNNNNNNNNNNNNNNNNNNNNNNNNNNNNNNNNNNNNNNNNNNNNNNNNNNNNNNNNNNNNNNNNNNNNNNNNCGUAGAAAGAGAGUGGUUGGCGUCCCUUUUAUGGGCGAUGCGGUUCAGGAUCCGCCAUGGCCGUGGAUUAUACUAACUUGUUGGUACGAAAGCAAAACUGGCUCGGGCAGAGGUGGGGUGGGGUGGGGUGGCUUGGGUCGAAAGGUUUUGUUGCUGUCGGGGCUUCGAUGGAAUGGUUAAGGUUGACGUGCAGCGGAUGGAAUUAGCAGCGAUCGCCCGCUGACUAGUAAGGCCUACGCUACGCAGUACGCACGCAUGCAACGGUCUUGUUGCGCAGCCAUUGCCAAGCUUGAGCGAUGAGCGGCUCUAGUGUAUGUACACUAUCUUAUCUCUCGUUUUAACAUCCUUCAUGUUGCAGUAGGGUAUGUAACAUGGACGGCGGUGCGACAAGGUGAAGGCUCAAGGAUUUAUUUUUCUAUCCUAUAAAUACAUGGUAUGCUUUUAAUUUGUACUCCUAAAAAUUACACAUGUGAAUACUAGUGAAUGUCUUUAUAAACUUUGUCAACAGCUAAAAUACCGUAUGAUUUCAAGCCAUAGAAAUAGAAUGGAUAUCAUUUCUACCCGCUGAGAUGACAUGAAUGAAAACACACCUUAUUUAGAAAUUUCCUCAUCAGCGUCCCCAAUUAUAAACACCGAAUUAACACAAUAUGCAUGUUUUACCAUCCUCCGCUCAAGGCAUCUUCAACGCUAACCCGCAAAUUUACUUCGGCAUCUGUCCACGGAGGGGGCGGAUCAGUCCGUACACACUGAUGCGAGAGGCCGUCAUACAACAAUAUCCGCAUACAAUCCAACCACUCGUCAAAUCAAAUGGAAGAAAUUCAUGUAAACAUGACAUAUCUCAUAUAAACUGCAAGAUAUUCAUGCACACACGAUGGAUUUCAUAUAAAUCGGACGGAAUUCAUUACAUUUCAGGUAUACUUUAACUGAAAGCGGAGCUCAUCCGACUCUAGAGGUAUAAUUUUAGAAAUACUUCAAACAAUCACCUAAACUAAAUGAUCGUUGGCACGUGUUCCCCAUGUUCGUCCAUGAGUCCCGAGAACUGAAGCUCAGGCACUUGCCUUCGCGUUCUCCAGUUCGGCAUCGACGCUCCCCAGAUGUGCCUCCGCAGCCUUCGACACCAACGCUUGAGUGGCUAAUCGGCUGGCGAUUUUCGGCCUCGCAAGCUUGGUUUCAGCCGGGACGUGUUGAAAUAUGCCCUAAUGGCAAUAAUAAAUGAUUAUUAUUAUAUUUUCUUGUUCAUCAUAAAUAUUUAUGAUUCAUGCAAGAAUUGUAUUGAUCGAAAACUUAAAUACAUGUGUGGACACAUAACAUCAUUGUGUCNNNNNNNNNNNNNNNNNNNNNNNNNNNNNNNNNNNNNNNNNNNNNNNNNNNNNNNNNNNNNNNNNNNNNNNNNNNNNNNNNNNNNNNNNNNNNNNNNNNNCACCCUCUAGAAGAACCUAACCUCCGUGCUAUCUUCACAAUCAUGGCUUCCCGCAUGAUUUUUUUUGGUGUGUUGUGUUGUUUUUUAUGUAAGUGUAAUUCAGAUACGCUUUGUAGCAUCUAAAUGGCCGUCUUGCUCAUUGGCGGAUGUGCGCUCGGGACGUGAUGAACUUCUGUCUUACUUGUCCCAGCGAUAACACUUGAACUUCCCCGGGUGCUAGGUUGAACUUCUGCUAAAAAGUGUACAAAUGGGGCUCGCGAUAUACCGUUGGAAAGCUAUGGACACCCUCGUAACAUCCUAGGUUGAAUUUUUUGUCAAAGUUUACACGGUUGAAGAGCAGUUUCAAAAACUAUUUUUCUUCAUACAAAAAACGCGAGUCACAUUUUUUAGCCUAUUUCUAAACCGUUUAUCGGAAUGAGGCAAAUGAGAUGGCAUUGGAUAGCUGCUACAAAUCCGCUCAUUUCAUAUGUUGAAAGUUUUUCCAAAUACCCUACGGUUAAAGAGGAAUUUAAAAAAUGGUGUAGUUUCUGAAACCGAACAGCUGCGUUCGUAUUUCGGGGUUAAUUUGAAGAAGGCCUGCCUAAUCAUCGCAAAUGAUAUGUUGUUGGAAAGUUUAUGAAAAUGCACACCUUUUCAUAUGAAAAGUUUCUUCCAACUAUAAACGGUUUAAAAAUAAUUUAGAAAAUGGCCAAAGUUGUAUCGAGUUUGUAUUUUUGCGUUAAUUCCUCAAUGGUUUGUCGGAAUGGAGCAAAUGGUACAGCGUUGGAAAGCUUGAGAAAAUGCGAAACUUUUAUAUGUAGAUUGUUUUUUACAAUUUUUUACUGUUUGAAUUCAAUUUAAAAAAUAGCUAAAACAUUUUUUGGCCGUAUUUUUUACAAAAUCUAUCGGAAUGGGGCAAAUAAUAUACCGUUGAAAAGCUACGGAAAAUACAAAACUCUUUCUUGUAGAUAGUUUUCUCUAAUUACUAGCCGUUUUCAAGAAAUCCUGAAAACAACGAGAUCAUGUGUUCUCCCUUUAGCGCGAAACAAAGUGUUCGAAAAUGCACCGAGUGAAUAACUUGAACUUCUUGGCUUGUCUACUUGCACUUUAGUCUGUUUUUCACGUGUUGUUUUGUGCUCGUAACUCUCCAUCAACUUAUUGGAAUUGAACAUGUGAUAUACCGAAGGAACGCUGCUGUAAAGGCACAACUUUUCCAUGUUGAUUAUUUUUUCAUACUCGCGAUGGUUUAAAAGAUUUUCAUCUCAAUUUCAUUGAGUGUAGUAGUUGAAUUUUCCGCUGUUUUUGUUAAACUUCUGUCGCGUAUUUUGUUUUGUAAUUUCUCAUCGAUUCGUCGGUGUUACACAAAUGAUAUUCCUUUUGUACAAACCUCUCUCAUGAUAAUUAUUUAACUUUCUCCGACCAAGGACUUGAACUUAUAGCAACACGAAAUUUGGACCUUGCCUUUUUAUUCAUUUUUCUCAUAUUAAACACACACCAUGUAGUAGGUGAAUUUCUCUGUUUUUAUAACUUUAAAAUUUUAUUUCCUUUUUGAAAUCAUAUUGUGUAACACCCCAGAUGUAAUCNNNNNNNNNNNNNNNNNNNNNNNNNNNNNNNNNNNNNNNNNNNNNNNNNNNNNNNNNNNNNNNNNNNNNNNNNNNNNNNNNNNNNNNNNNNNNNNNNNNNUGUAUGUAUGCUCAAAUAACACAAGUAAACCACAAGUAAGGAGUUAGGGUUAAGGAUAACCAAGGUCACUGAGACAAAGAUGUAUCCUGAUGUUCACGACUUUCCGCGGUUCUAUCAAUUGCUCGACAGUAAUUUGUUCACCCACCGUCUACUUGCUUUCAUGAGAGAAGCCACUAGCAAACACUACGGUCCCCGGGUCUAUUCACAUCUAUCGUUUACACCUCCACUUUUACUUUGCUUUGUUACUUUGUUGCUUCCAGUUCUCACUUGGCGAACAAUCUAUAAGGGUUGACAACCCCUUUCUAGCGUUGGGAGCAGGUUUUUUGUGUUUGUGCAGGAUCUUGUGAUACUCCUCCACUGGAUUGAUACCUUGGUUCUCAAACUGAGGGAAAUACUUACCACCGCUGUGCUACAUCACCCUUUCCACUUCGAGGGAACACCAACGCAAGGCUCCAUAGCCGUAGAAGAAGGAUUCCUGGUGCCGUCGACACGACUAUUCCUGUCGCCGUUGCCGGGGAAGCACAUCUGACAUCAGAAGUAUUUCUGGCGCCGUUGCCAGGGAGAAUCAAGACAAGAACAGUCUCCCGUCAGCACGUGUUUCUGGCACCGUUGGAAGGUCUUUUGUUGCAGUAGCAGAAGUAUUUCUGGCGCCGUUGCCGGGGAGGAGAGAUCAAGAUCUAUCCAAGUAGGUCUCACAAACUCAUCUCCUACAUUUACUUUUUUGCCAGUUGCCUCUCGUUUUCCUCUCCCCCACUUCACAUUUGUCGUUUUCAUUCGCCUUUUUCCUUUGCCUUUCUCUUUUGCCAUUUUCUUUUGCCCAUUUCAUUCUCUCUUCCUGCUCGUUUGUGUGUGAGAUUGUCCAUCAAUGGCUAGACAAGAACAGUCUCCCGUCAGCAUGUGUUUCUGGCGCCGUUGGAAGGUCUUUUGUUGCAGUAGCAGCGGGCAAUGCGAUAGUGCCACCCGUGCAGUUCAAUAGCUCCCCAACGGCGAGCGACACCGAAUUUUUACCUCUGUCCCAUGUUGCUCUGGUUUCCACGGGCGAUGAAGGUCAAACGACGGAGCUCACCCCCGUGCAGUUUCAGAAAAAUAUUUUUACUCCUUUUAAUUCUGGAUGGAUUUUGGAUGUGCAAUGCAGUGUAAUGCACCUUUUUGUCUAUUUCAGAUUUGUUUGUACAGUGCAGUGUAAUGCGUUUCUCUGCUUGGGGUCGUGUGGUGCAGUUCGGUCGGGUCCUCUUGACCCGCGAGGUUGCAGGUUGCGACGUGCGGAUAAGGGGAUCAUGCGGUUUCCGUGAGCAUUUUUGCAGUUUUAAUGGAUGGAUGUUUCAAUGUGUUUUUUUUGUUGUGUCUAUGAAGAUGUAUGCAUGUUUGUAUUUCUUGUACCCAUGGAGAUGUAUGCAUGUUUGUAAGAUGGGUGUGCCCCCAAAAAUGAUGCAGUUCAAUAAUCUUGACCAUGUGGUCCACAUCCGGCUACAAAAAAAGUUAGUGACGGGGAUAUAGCCCUAGGGUAGUUUCAUAGGUCUGACCAAUACGUCCUACCCAAAGGCACCUCAUUAUUAGUUUAAGGACUACAAGGGAAAUUCNNNNNNNNNNNNNNNNNNNNNNNNNNNNNNNNNNNNNNNNNNNNNNNNNNNNNNNNNNNNNNNNNNNNNNNNNNNNNNNNNNNNNNNNNNNNNNNNNNNNUGUAUGUAUGCUCAAAUAACACAAGUAAACCACAAGUAAGGAGUUAGGGUUAAGGAUAACCAAGGUCACUGAGACAAAGAUGUAUCCUGAUGUUCACGACUUUCCGCGGUUCUAUCAAUUGCUCGACAGUAAUUUGUUCACCCACCGUCUACUUGCUUUCAUGAGAGAAGCCACUAGCAAACACUACGGUCCCCGGGUCUAUUCACAUCUAUCGUUUACACCUCCACUUUUACUUUGCUUUGUUACUUUGUUGCUUCCAGUUCUCACUUGGCGAACAAUCUAUAAGGGUUGACAACCCCUUUCUAGCGUUGGGAGCAGGUUUUUUGUGUUUGUGCAGGAUCUUGUGAUACUCCUCCACUGGAUUGAUACCUUGGUUCUCAAACUGAGGGAAAUACUUACCACCGCUGUGCUACAUCACCCUUUCCACUUCGAGGGAACACCAACGCAAGGCUCCAUAGCCGUAGAAGAAGGAUUCCUGGUGCCGUCGACACGACUAUUCCUGUCGCCGUUGCCGGGGAAGCACAUCUGACAUCAGAAGUAUUUCUGGCGCCGUUGCCAGGGAGAAUCAAGACAAGAACAGUCUCCCGUCAGCACGUGUUUCUGGCACCGUUGGAAGGUCUUUUGUUGCAGUAGCAGAAGUAUUUCUGGCGCCGUUGCCGGGGAGGAGAGAUCAAGAUCUAUCCAAGUAGGUCUCACAAACUCAUCUCCUACAUUUACUUUUUUGCCAGUUGCCUCUCGUUUUCCUCUCCCCCACUUCACAUUUGUCGUUUUCAUUCGCCUUUUUCCUUUGCCUUUCUCUUUUGCCAUUUUCUUUUGCCCAUUUCAUUCUCUCUUCCUGCUCGUUUGUGUGUGAGAUUGUCCAUCAAUGGCUAGACAAGAACAGUCUCCCGUCAGCAUGUGUUUCUGGCGCCGUUGGAAGGUCUUUUGUUGCAGUAGCAGCGGGCAAUGCGAUAGUGCCACCCGUGCAGUUCAAUAGCUCCCCAACGGCGAGCGACACCGAAUUUUUACCUCUGUCCCAUGUUGCUCUGGUUUCCACGGGCGAUGAAGGUCAAACGACGGAGCUCACCCCCGUGCAGUUUCAGAAAAAUAUUUUUACUCCUUUUAAUUCUGGAUGGAUUUUGGAUGUGCAAUGCAGUGUAAUGCACCUUUUUGUCUAUUUCAGAUUUGUUUGUACAGUGCAGUGUAAUGCGUUUCUCUGCUUGGGGUCGUGUGGUGCAGUUCGGUCGGGUCCUCUUGCCACCCUCGAGGUUGCAGGUUGCGACAUGCGGAUAAGGGGAUCAUGCGGUUUCCAUGAGCAUUUUUGCAGUUUUAAUGGAUGGAUGUUUCAAUGUGUUUUUUUGUUGUGUCUAUGAAGAUGUAUGCAUGUAUAUAUUUCUUGUACCCAUGGAGAUAUAUGCAUGUUUGUAAGAUGGGUGUGCCCCCAAAAAUAAUGCAGUUCAAUAAUCUUGACCAUGUGGUCCACAUCCGGCUACAAAAAAAGUUAGAAAAAACAACAAAGUAAUGAGGUUCACUUCAACUCAUGUUGGGGUUCACUUCCUCAUUUGAUGUGGUUCCGUCGCAGUCCACUCUUGUUCAUAAAAAGUUAGAAUAAAUGACAAAGCAGAAAUAAUGAAGUUCGCUUGACCGUGUGAUGAAGUGCGGCUUUCCGUCAAAAAGGAGUGCGCUCUUCUAUCCGAUGUGAUUCACGCAUCGGUUUUUGUAACGUGAAAAACAGAGUGUCCGUGUUUCGGUAAAACCAAAACUGCUCUUCAAUAGUAAGGAAUAAGAGAGAGAGAGAGUUCUACGUAAAAAAAGAUGUGCUUCAUCGAUACCUUUCCAACGUCGUAUCAUUUGCAUCGUUCUGGCAAGCGGUUUGGAAAAAUAUAUGAAAAUAAGCUUGCUGCAACUCAUAGGCAGUCGCGCCGUUUUUAAAAUUCAUUUAAAACCGUAUGGAAUCUCAACAAGUGGUCAGUUUAUGAAAGUUGUGCUUAUUCCACUGUUUUUCAACGCUGUAUCAUACACCUUGUUCCGACAAACACUUUUAAAACUGCACCAAAAAACGUAUAGAAAAAACUAAAAAAAUUAAAAAAUAAAAUUCCGUUUUUAAAUAANNNNNNNNNNNNNNNNNNNNNNNNNNNNNNNNNNNNNNNNNNNNNNNNNNNNNNNNNNNNNNNNNNNNNNNNNNNNNNNNNNNNNNNNNNNNNNNNNNNNCUGCCUGCUUCGUCGUCGCCACGUGCGGCCUCCAGCGCCGGCCGCUUCAUCGUUGACACGCGCGGCUCUGGCACCGCCCGCUUCGUCGUAACCAUACGUGGCCGCCGGCGUCGUCUGCUUCAUCGACUUCUCCAACUUCGUUGUUAUUGAGCACACACACAACCGUCAAUGCCGUUCGUCUCGUCGUCGACUCCGGCCUCGUGUUAUCGGCUGCUCGGCGGCAACCUUCGCGGUUGAGGCUCAAGGCCGAGCCGACGCAGGCACACAACGCUCCUUCCUCCUUCACCAGUCGUCGGCAAGGGUCUCAUGAGUCGAGGCGCGCUGUGAUGACAACCUACGAAUCAGCCUUGAUCUGUAACGGGUAGCCGGUCAAUGCCUUGUAAGUGCAUGCAUUACGUGGGUCUUUUACUUGAUUAAUUCACCGCAUGCAGAAAAAUGGUAACGGAACGACGUGGCCGUUCAAUGCCUCGUAAUGGGCCUAAUGGCCUCAUUAAAUGGCUCAUAAGGUGAGGUACGAUCGCAUCAAUUUAGUAAUUGCUGCAUGCAAAACUUCCAUCACACUAUUUUCAGGAAUGGUUAAUAUUGCAUGCAUGCAAGUAUAACCAUCCGUGGUAUUUAUUCCUUGUAAAAUAGCAUCUAUUCUGGCACGUUUUGAUCCAGCAAAAUAUAUAUUCGUAGCUAUACUUGCUACUAACUUGCAGGGUCACUCGUUCGUCAUCGUCCCCGAACAACAGUUUAUUUGAACGGACUAUCUAUUCGAGUCAGACGCGUCAUCAUCACUCGGUCGCCCUGCAUGCCGUCGCUCAGUCGAAAGCAUCAUCAUCACUCGGCCGCUCUACGCGUCGUCGCUCGGUCGGACGCGCGUCGUUGCUUGGUCGGACGUGCGUUGUCAUCACUCGGCCGUCCUGCACAUCGUCGCUGAGUCAGACGUGCGCCGUCAUCAUUCGGCAGCUCCGCACAUCGCCACUCAGCCGGACGCUCCAUCGUCACCCGGACACUCCGCACGCCGUCACUCUACUGGACGCGUCGUCAUCACUCGGUAUCUCCGCACAUCGCCACUCAGCCGGACGCUCCAUCGUCACCCGGCCGCUCCGCGCGCCGUCACUCUACUGGACGCGUCGUCAUCACUCGGUAGCUCCGCGCAUCGCCACUCAGCCGGACGCGUCGUCAUCACUCGGCGGCCCUACAUGCUGUCACUCACUCGGAUGCGUCGUCAACGCUCGGCCGCCCUGCGCGCCGUCCCUCAGUGGGACCCGUCGUCAGCACUCGGUAGCUUCGCGCAUCGCCAGUCAGCAAGACACGCCAUCCUCACUCGGUUAGAGACUCCUUCGUCACUCGGCAGCUUCGUGUGCCGCCACUCGAUUGGACGCUCCUUCGUCACUCGGCAGCUUCGCGCGUCGUCACUCGGCUGGAGGCUCCUUCGUCAUCUGGUUGCUCUACGCGUCGUCACUCGGCCGCCCCGCGUGUCGCCACGCAGAUAGACGCGUAUUCAUCGCUUGACCGCCCAACAUGUCGCCACUCAGCCGGACGUGUCUACUUCGCUCGACCGCCCCACGCGUCGUCAGGCAGCUAAGUCAUUUUUCACAGACUGCAUUCUAUUAAAUAAUCGUUUCUACAUUACCGAGUGUCGAGGAAGUCGCACAUGACGUUCACUCGGAGGCCACGCCACCGAGUGUACCUAUGCACUAGGUUGUUUAUUUUUAUGUGGGAACACUUCACUUCCACUUCGUUUUGGUCCAGUACUCAAACGAGUUUAGUCGAAUGCUUCACUUGCAUAAGUACAGUCGGAUCCUGCACAAGUACAACCACGUGGCACACCCACCGGGUGUCUAUGGGUGCAAUUUACACAAACUAUUUCAGAAAAUAUCAUAUUACUUUGAUAAUUUUUUAUGUUGGCUUGUGCUAUUUUUCAUACACAGGUAACUCGACGCAUCCGUGCGCCAUCCUCGUCGCUGCUCAGGCUCAGUCGCCGCAACGAUCAUUCAUUCGUUUUCACGUGUUCGGAAGCCCUUUCAAUGACGUAGUGGACACGGCCGCCCCGCGUGCCGUCGGUGGGUCGGACGCCUCCUCGACAUACAUCACUUGGCCACCCCACGCGUUGCCACAUAGCCAGAAUCGUCUACCUCACUCGGAUGCCAUGGGCAUCGCCACUCCGUGUGGCACGUCUUCAUCAUUCGGCUGCCCUGCGCGCCACCGCUCAGCUUAGCUGCGACUCCAUAUCGCCUAAGUUAAAAACAACUCCGAGUGCGGACAUGCUCCACACUNNNNNNNNNNNNNNNNNNNNNNNNNNNNNNNNNNNNNNNNNNNNNNNNNNNNNNNNNNNNNNNNNNNNNNNNNNNNNNNNNNNNNNNNNNNNNNNNNNNNCCUAGAGGGAGAGUAGGCAAAUUUGUCAAAACGUUUAGGACAGAAACACUUGACUGUACGAAAAUCAAUAGACUGCAUUUUGGUUUCUUGCAAGCACACCACGGCAGCUAGGCUCUCAUCAAUCUUGUUACGAACCGCACGUUGUCUAUGGUCCGAAUUUAGGCCACGUACAUUCCAACACAGCACACGCCAACUUCUCGUAGAACGACUAUCCAUUGGACGAUAUAUAUAGAGCAAACGCAGGGAUAUGUAAUAGCCCUUGCAACCGAGGUUCAGUUAACCAAAAGAUAGAGCAAACAGUAGUCUGACAGUACAUGGAGCCAGUACAGCAACAAAUUAACAUAAGAGGACUAAUCAUCUGCAGAUGAAGGCGCGGGAUUAGCUGGAUCUUCCAUAAGACGAUCCACAGUCAGCUUCUCAGGGGUGAUGCCAAGCGUGUGCCCGAUCGCCUGAAUCACCGGAAUAGGAGUGGCAUGAGGAACUUGCACAUCAGCAGACUCCUGCGCUGGAAAAGGCAUUGGCUUGGCCUUGGACUUCCUCUUCUUGGGGGCAUGCACUGGUAGCUCCUGCAAAACCGGUUUGAAGCCAUCCCGCUUGAUGGAGCCGCGGGUACAUCGAUGAACAGAGGAGUCAACGACAGGAGUGGCCUUCUUACGGGUCCCUUUCUUCGUUGGAGCAGGAGAUGGAAAGGAGAAGGAGUCCUCUGCAGACAAAGAGGGGCUGACUGGGAUUACCUCAUCCAAGGAGAGUGUGUUGCUUGCUGGCUCUGGUGGUGGCAGCGCUGGGGCAGCAGUAUCGAAAGCCACCGCCCAGGAUCGCUUGGGGAUCACAAUGGGCAUCACCAUUGGCAUCUGCAGCUGGUGAGGGACAUGCAUGGAGGUAGCAGCUCCCAUGAAAGCAUCAAAAGUUCGGGACCAGGAUAGUACUGGCGGUAGAGGAGGCCCAUAAAAAACCCUGGCAGCCCCAACAAAAAGAUUGUCAGACUGAACCUGCGGGAGUUUGUACGGGACGAUCGCCAGAGGAUUGUCGUGCUACGCCUCAUCCUCCCCUUGCACAUCUUCCUCCGGCUCCGCAGCAGGGGCCUGAACAACCGGUGCCAUAUCAGCGUCACGGGCGGCAGGGUCAGCAGCCAUUACCACAUCCAGGUUGGGAGCAGGGGGAGCAAGAUCAGCAGGUUCUGCCUCAAUGUCACCCUGCGGCUGAGGGUCUAGGUCGACAUAUUGUUGGAGGGAUGCGAAUGUGAGCUUCUUACGAACUGAUGAUCCAGUUUUAAGAGAAGAUUUUAGAGGUCUGGAAUGCAUUGCCAUCAAACCUAGUGAGGCUCUCCUCUUAGAUGGACUCACAAUAAUCCAUUCAGCAUCACAUUGUUUCUUCCACAGAGGGAAUUCCCGACGCCAACCGGACCACCAUGUCCCCAUAGAUGGAAGAAGCACUUAAAAUUUGAGCAUUUGAACGAGCGCAAGUCCAAAAUAUGAAAACCAACUUGCAUGCAGGACACUUUGAAGGAGAAAACCGAAUCUGUAACUUGCGAGACGCGAAACUCAAUGGUAGAGCCCCCAAUCACAGAUUCUAGAGCUGCGGCGACCGUGUCCUCAGAGAGACGGAACACAUGACGACCAAAAGAAACCACCAUGAUGAAGGAGCGGUGGUGCUUCAUAGGGUGCACCGUAACACCAGAAUGACGAUAAACCUCAUCGGCGAAGGCCAAACCAUGAGAAAAAUCCAGAUCCAACGUGGAACCACCCAUGCAAGCCAUGCACGACCACGUGUGGGGGGUCGGGAGGGUUCACCUGAGCAGAAGAGCGGCGAGGAGGCUGGAUACGCCGGCUAGAGCACCAGAUCGCCAUGGGGUCACCGAGGUGGGAGGUGGGAGUCGCCAUCUAUUCCACAUGAAAGAAGUUACAAAGGACAAAUAUGCUCCUCAAAAGGGGUAGUUAUCCAAAGGGAUACGAAAACUUCCACCUUCAUGUGCAUUGAAUAGUUAGAGAAGUUUGAUUCAUCUCAAUUAGUUUUGAGUUGUGGAUAUGGUAAUAUUGAAGUUAUGCUAGUAAGGUGUUGUGGAUCUAGAAAUACUUGUGUUGAAGUUAGUGAUUCCUGUAGCAUGCACGUAUGGUGAACCGCUAUGUGAUGAAAUCUGAGCAUGAUUAGUCUAUUGAUUGUCAUCCUUUGCGUGGCGGUCGGGAUCGCGCGAUGGUUUAUACCUACCAACCCUUCCCCUAGGAGUAUGCGUUGAAUGCUUUUGUUUCGAUUACUAAUAAAACUUUUGCAACAAGUAUAUGAGUUCUUCAUGACUAAUGUUGAGUCCAUGGUUUAGAUGCACUUUCACCUUCCACCAUCACUACCUUCUUAGUGUCGUGCAACUUUCGCCGGUGCACAAAAACCACCAUUAGCCUCCCUCAAAACAACCACCAUACCUACCUACUAUGGCUUUUUCAAAGUCAUUACAAGAUAUAUUGCCAUGCAACUACCACCGUGACAUGUGCCAUCACGUCUACAUUGCCAUUGCAUGAUCGUAAGAUAGCUAGCAUGAUGUUUCCAUUAAUGUCUAUGCCAUGCUAGAUCAUUGCCACGGUACACUAUCGAAGGCAUUCCAUAUAGAGUCAUAGUNNNNNNNNNNNNNNNNNNNNNNNNNNNNNNNNNNNNNNNNNNNNNNNNNNNNNNNNNNNNNNNNNNNNNNNNNNNNNNNNNNNNNNNNNNNNNNNNNNNNGAGCGUUUAGAUCACUACUUUAGUGAUCUAAACGCUCUUAUAUUAGUUUACGGAGGAGGUAUGUCUUUCUUGGGGAAAAUAAGAUAAGUAUGUGGCAUAAUAGGGCUAACUAGCAUGUACGAAGCUAAGUAUGCAUUUGUUAAUAGGACUUCCAAUUUUUCAAGAAUCGCUCCCCUCUUUAGAUUCACUGCAUACCCAUCGGGGAACAUCAACUGCAUUUUGACCCACAAGAUAAUUUCCCUCAUAACUUCCCUUUUUAGAUUGAACCAGACCUUUGGCUUCGACUAGUUCUGCUUUCCUUUAUAUUGUCGCAUGUUUUGUAACGGUCUAUCAAAUAGAUUCUGCUGAUCGACUCUAGCCUUAGGAUUAUCAUUUGAUUUCUCCUCUAUGCCGAACAAUGUACCAAAUAUGGACUCUUCGAUAUUAUUUUCAGUGUGCGUCAUGUCGAUUUUGUGUGAAAGAAGGAGGUCUUUGAAGUAAGACAGAUCCCACAAGUAUGUCUUGUGAGUCGAGGCGUGUUUCGAAUUAUACCCCUUGAAAUACCCUGGAUGCUCCGGAUAGGGCUCAAGAGCGUUUAACUGAUCUAGGAUCUGUUGUCCUGUCAACGCAGGUGGUGCUGAGUUUUUGACAACUUUACCUUUGAUAAAGUUCUUCUUGUCUUUUCUGAACUGAUGGCGAGGAUCGAGGAACUGUCUUGCAAGUCAAAGAAAGAAUACUUCCGACCCACUGCAGCCAAUGAAACUGAAGACCUGCCUUGCAUGUGGGGCACGGGAACCUUCCAUGCACACACCAGCUAGCGAAUAGCGCAUACGCCGACAAGUAAUGCAUCAAGUACAUGUACCACACAUGCAUUUUGAAGUUUUCUUUUCUAGUGGCGUUGUAUGUCUUGAAUCAAUUAUCACACGCUUCUUGCAAUUCAUCCUUAAGAGGCUUCAUGUACACAUUCAUAUUCUUCCCCGCAUAGUUCGGCCCUGGAAUAUCAACGUCAGGAAUAUGUUCUUUCUUUCCAUAAUCUGUCCGGGGGGAAUCGAGUGGAAUGAAAAAUACAAACCAACUACUGUAUUGGGUUGCCGUCAUACCAAAGGGAUUGAGCCCAUACUUGUGAACACAGACUCGAGGAUGCCUUGGAUCUGCCGCUUUAUCCGGAUGUAAUGCAUCGAAGUGCUUCCACGCUUCCGCUUCCGAUGUGUGUACAAAAAUCUUAUUCCCAUCUGCAUCUAGUUCGAUUCUUUUGCCCAAUUUGUGCCAUGUCAUCUAUCUGGCCGUCUCUUCGACCAUGAAAAGACGUUGAAGUCUUGGUAUGAUUGGCAUAUACCGAAGAACAUUAACUGGGAUUUGGUCUGCCUCUUCUCACCCAUACCGUUGUCUACCACAACAUACCUGGAAGACUUGCAAAUGGGACAAUAGUUAAAAUCCACAUACUCAGGCCUAAAUAAGGUACAUCCUUUCUGACAGGCAUCUAUCUUAUCAUUGGGCAUCUUAAGUAAGCAGAGUAUUUUGUUCCACUGGUACAGGUUUAUAGGCAUGCCAUGGCCUUUGGGAAGAAAGCGUCCAAAUAGUGUCAUCAUCGCGUCAUAGCAUUCUCUGUCCAAGUUGAAUUGAGCCUUCAGAGCCAUUACUUGUGCGAUGGCAUCCAGCUGCCAAAGCUCAGUGUGCUCGUGGAGAGGAUGUUUUCAAGACUCCAACAUUUCAUAGAAGGCCUUUGCAGAUUCCUCCAUCUCAUCGUCUGAAUCCCGAGCAUCAUCAAAGUCUUGCAACAUGUCUUCGAUCCCGGUACCAUGCUCGUCGGUGCGAUGACGAACCACCUCAGCUCUGGUACGUUGGGCAGACUCACCAUGAAAUUUCCACACCGUAUAAUCAGAUGUAAACACCCUCUUCUGUAGGUGUUUACCCAUUUCAUCGAGUGUCCUCUUUUUAAAGUAGUCGCACCCAGGACAGGGGCACCAGGUUUUUCUCUCGCCAUUUGCAAAUGCGGCUUUCACAAACUCCUUGCUUUUUGUUAACCAUUCUUUGGUCAUCUCUUUCUAACUAGUGCGACCGGUGUACAUCCACACACGAUCACUCAUCUUGCCUAGCUACUAAACACACAAGAAAUAUAUAUUAAUUCAGCAUAUAUAUUCAUGAGUUAAUCAAGAUUGUCAGUUUUAUUACGUCCAUGCAACCUACACGCUAAUAGGUAAAGAUAUGUCCUAAUUCCACCCGAGUAUGUGUAGAUUGGGUUCGUUUUCCCAUGCUCUGCUCCGGAUCCGAUGCAAAAUUUCGACUGCACCUCCCCGCCCUUCUCCUGAUAUACGUCUCGACAAUAAACAGAGAGGAUGUGUACCCGGAGUACAACAGAGAGGCACUGACCAAAUUAUGCAUCGGAUUCGGAGUAGAGCAUAUGGGAAAAUGAAUCCAAUCUAUAGAUACUCGAGUUGUCCAUGGAUAACGUUGGACAAUUUGAAAGAAUCAUGGUUAUAAAUACAUGCAAAUGCAUGCAUAUUUAUAAUUGUAACCCUUUCGAAUGGGAGACGCAUACUGGUCACGCAGACUAAUGAUGUCAUUUUUGCUAACCCAUGAACGCAGGGGCGGAGCUCGUUGAAAGCAUGGGGAGGUCGUUGAACACUAGACCCUCGCAGUGACGAAACAAUUGUACAUUUAAAUCCACCCAAUCAACACAAAUAUGAUGUUUUUAUAACAAAAUCAGAAAAUAAAUGGCCUAACUCAUAAUUUACAAAACUAUGACCCCGUCGGCAUCUGGAAGGCCGAAGAGCACCUUUAUGGUCAACAGGAAUCCGAAGAGGAGUCGGGGGUUGGGGUGAGUGGCGUCGGGAGCGACGUAUUAACAGCUCCACGGGGGAUUGGAAUGUCGAUCUAUCAGUGGCAUCUUCCCAUCACCACAUGUAGGCGCAGGUGCCUAGNNNNNNNNNNNNNNNNNNNNNNNNNNNNNNNNNNNNNNNNNNNNNNNNNNNNNNNNNNNNNNNNNNNNNNNNNNNNNNNNNNNNNNNNNNNNNNNNNNNNCAUAGGUAAUACCUACCAUAUGUACCCACAAAGUGAAUACCGCAACAAGAAUCAACAUUGCCAUUACCUUGUUUGGAGGUAAAUCAACCAGAUAGGUGGUAGUUUCCCUCCUAUCAUCUUAGAUAUGGAGGGAAAAAUCAUGGAUCAAGAAAUGGGGAUUAUGCGGAAACAAAGCAAUAUGUUGGAAAUGUGACUGCCUAAUCUCCAUUUUCUGUGACUACCUUUUUUAUGAAGUACAUUUCCAUUUGCCGAAACAAAUUUGUGAACAUAUCAGAUCAAAACUUGAUUGAUUCUGUGACUGCCCUUUUUAUGAAGUACAUUUGCAUUUGCAUCCUUCUUUAUCUUCUAGAACAAAUAAGGCGGGAGUUAACACAAAAUUAUAUGCUACAACCAUGUUAUCUGGCUUCUAGUGGAGGCCUGGAUGAACAGUAUGAAGAGAUUAAGUUUUCUUCUUAAAACUGCCUGACUCUACGAACUCUUCCUGUAGAAAUGACCAGAGCAGUUCAAUAUAUUUGAUAUCCAACAGUUGUAAUGCUGAAUAUUAAAUAAAUGUUUGUACAUGGUUGAUAGUGCGACCAAGUAAUUUAAGGAUAAGCCAAGUAACUUGACAAUUUUGUUCACAUCAAAAGCUAUCUAUAUACUACUAUAUAUUUGAUAUUGUUGUGCUCAUAGACUUUUGUUCAAAUUAUUUACAGAGGAAGACGACGAUUAGCUAUUCAAAUUUGUUUGGCGACAACCGGGCUUUCUGCAGUUUGCAUUGGUCAGAGAACAUCCAUGUGUAGUUUCUGUAUGAAGACUGUCUCGCGUUUCAUCUGCGGUAGUGUAAUAAACUGAUGUUUUACUAUGCUCGGGUUGUCCGGGAGACCAUUUACGGUACUUGAAUCUGAUUGAUUACCCUCUCUAAAGCAUUUUUAUUCAAGUUCAAAUGAUGACAUCAUCCAUACCCUCUUUUGAUUGUGCAAAGCAAAUGAUCAACUUAUCUACCUACCUCAUUCUUUUUGGUGUCGCUGCUAGGCAGGACGUUCUUGAGGGAUCUCAAUGAUGACUGGCAAAUUUUGUUUUUGAACUAUUUUUAUUUCUUAGAAAUUUGCAUCGCUUGUACGCAC
rnacentral:lncRNA from 1 species